ACUGAUGACGAUUUAAGUCACUCUUCUUCUGUGCGCAAUUUGAAAUAAGGUCGUUUUUCUUUUUUCCUCUAUUCAAAGUUUACAUUCUGAGGGGUUCCCGUUUCCAUCUUCGUGAUCUUCUUGUGAUUCACUGCAUCGUGUCGCUACAUCUGUGAUAGUGUGAGUUGCAACCUGUCUGUUUUCUUUGUUUGAUCAUUGUAUGUAUUAAAAAAGUUUACAUUUCAUUCUAGAUAAGCUCUUUGUAUGUAUUAAAAAAAUUUUAUUCUCAAUAUAUAUGACUCAAUGAGAGGUCUUUUAUUAUAUAUAUGUCAUGAAUUUCUAUUGUAUUUUGAGAUUUGAUGGUGUAUUAUUGUCUCAUUGCAAGGUCUUGUAAUCACUCUGAUUCUCAUUUGAGGAGGUUGGUCUCGUCUAUGUGUAUGUAUUUAUAUCCACAAGAAAUUUGAUAAAUGGUCUUGUCGUUUUCUCAUUAAAACAUCUAGUGCUUCAUGGGUUGGAGGGCUACUAGGCAUCAGGGCCAGAUCUUUAAACUCAAAGUUCUUCGUGUCAUUUACCCAUUUGAUUAUCAAAUAGUCAUAAAAGCAUAUAAAUUCAAGUUAGUGUAUCAUUUUUACACAAUAUACUAAAACUAACACAAGAACUUGGCCGACAUUUUCAGUUGAAUAACUCAGACCCCCGAACUUCCUCGGGCUGACAUCCCAAAGUGAAAAUGUCUAAAAAAAUAGUUGCAACAUUUACCCAUUUGAUUAUGAUUCAAAAAAAAACACAAACGGAGAAAUUAUUGGGAUUGUUAAGAUAGUUAAAAUGGUUAGUUAUUGUUUCAGUUUGUUAAGCAAGAUAGGUAGAGUUACUGACGUGUUAGCUGAGCUGGCAUAAGUUAUUCAACUCUCAGGUGCUUAGAAACCUUGUAUAAAUACAUUUGUAAUCAGCUAAAGAAUGGAUGAUUCAGAUUUAUUCAUCAAAUCCAGCUCUUAGAUGAUCUCUGUUCUUUCUUUCAUUUUCUCUCAUUUUCUUACUUAUCAAACAGAUUAGAAACUUUAACUUGGUAUCAGAGCCUGAAAGGUUUGGUAGUUGUUCUGUUUUAUCUUCAGUUUCAUUUUGUGAUCACAGAAACGUUAGGACUUGCUUGCAUGAACGCACAUUAAACCACGGAAAUUUUGUCAGACAUGCACGCAAAUGAAAUUUUAUCAGCAGUCUUGUAAUUUUCUAUUUUUGUUGUUGUCGUCAUUUUUUUACUACUAGUACUGUUUGAAAUUCUAGUAUUUUGGAUGUGAAAUUUAUUAUAUUAUGAUAGGUCCCAGUCAGAAUUAGCGGAAACAACAAGUAAAUAAUUUGUUCUUCUUAGGGUAAGAACUACCGCAAUUGCUAAUUGAAUUAGAUAAAAGUCUGAUAUCUUUUUAUUGAAUUAUUCGAGUCUAUUUAUAGAACAAAAUUAAUGAAAUAAAGUAGUUAAAAUCAAUUAAACCACUUAGCUAUAAUUUCGAAGUAAAUAAUAAUCUUAAAGGAAUCAUGAUUAAAUCUGAAUUCUUCAUCAAUACGGCUUGACUUAGUAAGCUUUCCGUUGAUUUUGUGAAGAGUCCUUGAAGGAACGUGAUGCCCACCUCAUGCAUGGCUUGCAUGUUACUUGCAUGUGCCCAUACAUUUUCGUUAUUGGCUUGCAUGGUUGCUUGCAUGUGCCCAUGCAUAUUCGUCAUAUUUGUUGUUGGGUUUUGCUUCUCACUUGGACUUGCGUAUACUCUUAUCAUAUUAGAUAUUCGACAUAUAUAUGAUGCUGAAUACAGGGUAUGUGUUGUCUAAAUUUAUUUUAUUUUGUUUGCUUCACAUCCAAUUUUCAAAAGCUUUGAAGAAUGCUAAGAGAAGGAGCAAAGGGCUAAAGAGUCAAAUGUAACAUUGCUAUUAAUUUGUUAAUUGCCAUCAUUUUUAAUUUUUGCCCUGCUUGUUCUGUUUACUCAUUUAUUUCACUUGGUUUUGCUCCACGUCUAUCUUUCCUAACUUAGGAAGGCAAGGAUUUUGAAAGUUCUGAAGAAGAUUCAGGUCACUCGUGUGAAUAAGAGCUGUGUUACUGUUUAAAAGUUUUCAUGCUCUGGAAUAAAAUUUGCUUUACUGUGUUACUGGUCAACUUCAUUAUUCUACUAAUGCUUUACUUCAUCUUCAUUGUAUCACUACAUUGACAGCGUUGACAGUGUAAGAGUCGUUUUCACGAUUUUUAAGAAAUUUUGAUCACAUUAAACUUUUGAUCUGAGUUCAUAACAAAAAUCAAAACGGCGCAUGACAUCAAGAUUAUGAUGAAUCAAAUUGAACUCCCAAUACGUUAGUUCAUAAAAAAUGCUUUUCUUCUUCCAAGUAAUCUUAUCAUUUCUUUCAUUUUAUUCAUUCUCCUCUUUUCUCCUCUUUUCAAGUCUUCAAUCUUAUACUCAGUAAGUACAUUACUGAACUGCUUUUUCACCUCAGCUCCAGACAACCGAGAAGGUGCUUGUCCGGUUGUCCCCACUCUCUAGUUUUAUCAGAUGGCACUAUAUUUUCGGAACCUAUGAUUUGUUGGUAAAAAUCGACGGUGACCCACGUGACAAUUUUCUACUAUGUAUCAACCAAUUAGAUCUAGUGUUUUGUUGGCAAACAAGAAAUGCUUAUUUACCUUUAAUACUCCACCCAAACAAGUUGGCAUAUGCUAGAAAGUCGGAGAUAGUCCAUAACAAUGCUGCGUGUGACUUGAACAUUUGAUUAUGUGAUGCAUUAUGCAUCAUUCCAACCAUACUAGCAUCACUACCCGAGUCAUGACUAACCUGUUUCUUAGUUAGAUUUCAAAGAUGAAGAUGGCUCACCCUCCAAUAUCCAGUUUUAAUACUUUAACCAAUAGCCAUUUAUAAUGAUAUGGUCUCUUGCCACUUUCCUUAUAAGGAAAUAUCGAUAUUACGACACUUCUUAGAAGGACAAUAAAUUCUUUUAUCACCAACAACAUUCUCAAAUGCAAAAUCUAUAAAUUUUUUGACCCAUCAGUAUAUGAAUUGGAUAUCUAUUUGGCAAACCAACCCAACUCUGGUCCAUGACUAUGUCCUUUUAAUGCACUAGAAAAAUUAGUUAAAUAAAUCACUUUAAUUCUUCAUUUCUACUACUAAACAAGAUAUUUUCAUGUGUGCGCAGUUUCGCAAUAUAAUAAAAAAAAUUAUUAUACAAUUUUAUGGUUAAUCUCAUUAGAACGUUUAUAUAUAUGGAAGCAAGCAAAGCCACAAGAAUCAGAGAAAAAGAUGUGAAAAUUAAAGUAUAUAUACAACAAUAAUUAAUCUAAAAAACAGUUUGCAAUACCUUCUGUAAAGAAAUAUCCUCACCCACUGCUGAGAACUUCACUUGGCUAUCAAUUACAGAUAUAUAAAGCCUGUUACCUAGAAACAAAAAAUUAGGUCAGCCAGCUAAAACAUAUUUAUAAACCAACAUUGGAGAUAGUACUCCAUUUAUAAACAAAAUUACAAGACUCAAAACCAAGUCGACUCAGCAAAAUCAUAACCGAUUACAUUCAUCCCACUCAGCUCCUCCACUCCCAUCAAUAUAUCCAACAUUCCCUUCAUAUUUACAAAAGGUAAGUGGUCCUAUAUAUCCCACUCAAGAAUGCAUAAGUUUCUUCAAUCUUAAGUAUCUAAAGUUUUCCUCUACGUUUAUAGAAACUUCGGAAGCAUCUCCCUAUAGUUCUUCAAGUACACGACAUAGAUAUAUGAAUGUUUAUGUGUUAUGCCAAAACAACACAUGACACCCAUUUGUCUAGUAUGCACCCAGAGAACAUGAGGAGCAGCUGCUGAAAAACCCAUUUUUACGUGGGAAAAAAAUUUCAGGCACUAGCUGCCAUAGAAAUCUAUGCAUUACCAAACUGUCCAAGCCUAGAUAUUUCAAGAAUUAUUAAUAGACAUAAGAUCCUCACUAUCAUCCAAAAGAUGACACUAAUAAAACAUGUGUCUAUUAAUAAUUUCUUAAAGGAGUUUAAGCUUUCAAUGCAUGUAUCAAAAGUUUAAAAUUGAAUCUGAAACUUGAAUAACACAUAAAAAUCAUAAAUCUCUUCAAUUUAUUCCUAAUAAAAUGUAGCAUUUUUUCACAUUUCAUUUCUUAAGCAAAACCAUAAAAAAUUACAAACAAUAAAUACAUUUUCUAGCACUGAUGCACAUUAUGUUUACUGAGCAAUAAGUUUUAAGUCAUUCAUAUUAAAAUACUUCUUCCUAUUCUAUCAACAAAUAACUAGUACGUACACACAAUUAAUAAAUUAAAUGUAACCUGGUUGUGAAUCUUGCAAAGUCUUCCUAUUUUUUUUUUUUUUUUUUGGUGGGGGGGGGGGGGGAGGGGGGAGGGGGUGGUUAUGCUCAUUUGUGUGUUGUUAACAGAAAUUGAUCCAAAGCCUCAGUUUUAAUUAGCUUCAUUAUAGCCAAUGAUUAGGUGUUUAAAAACCAAUGAAUAUUUUUUAUAAGAAAUCAACAAUAUUGUUGAAAGAAAAACCAAAUAAAAAUAAUAAAGCAAUGCAUAGAUUAAGGCUCUUUAUUAUCUAAUAACUAAUCAAACUAAGUUGUGGGUAAAGGAGAAUAUGUUUGUUUGGCCAAUAAUAAACUCAAGGAAUCACCAAUAAUCACCUAGUUACUAUUCCUUAUGCCAUGCAAUGUAAUGGCGUCGGUAAUGGCGACAAGGCAGGCAAUAACUAGCUAGCUAGUUAUGAUAGUUGCUUAACUUAACCUACUGGAAAUCUGAAGACCAAAAUGAAGAAACUUUGCCUAGAACUAGAAUAGGAAAACAUUCAUACCCAAAACCAAUAUACAUGAUUAAGAAACUUGAUUAUAUGUAUAUUUUUGUUUGCCACACCAAAUCCCACUAUUUCCAUACUCAUAAGCACAAAAAACCAUCGCAAAAAUGAAUGACCAUAUAAAAUAAAAUAGGUCGCAGGACAUUGAGAAUAGGACAAUAUGAUUUAUGUACUGUAAAAUAACUAUAUCUGCAGUCAACUAUAUUUCUGUUAGAACUCUAAAGUUUUCCAUUAAAUUUUUUUCCCUGUUAGGUAAACCACUUAACUGAAACACUUAAGCAAGAUUGACAAUCAUAGACAUAAAAGUAUUAAUAGGCUCAUUCAAGUGAAAUGAGCAUUAUUUCACAUAUCCUUUAGGCUUUUAAGUCAUUUAGAAGUCAUUCAUGUUAAACAAUUUCUUCAUAUACUUUCAAUAUAAUUAGUACAUACACAAUUAAUUAAUUAAAUAAAUCUGUUUCAGCUAGCACAGGAACUUAAGCAAUCAGAGCUAUUAGUUAUAGCUAGGACUUGAAUGAGGCACCUUUCAAAGUUCAAGAGGAGCAUCUGAACAGAAUGAAAGCAGUUUGUAGAAAUGGUAGUGAUGCUUUACAUCUACAUGCUCUUACACAAUAUGAACUUUCAUUUAUUCAAGAACAUAACACUAAUCCAAGCUCUUACUCUACAAGUCAAUUCAGUUUGUAGAUGCAAGCCAUUGUAAAAACUUUUGUGUUAUAAUUUCCGUAAAUGGAACAUGACAUUACUAAUAUAGAAUCAGCAAUGUUAUAUAACUUAUCAGACAAUAUAACAAGCACUUGGCGAGCAUAUAAGAUAAACUAAAACAAGUUAAUUAGAAAAUGAAACUAAAACCCAAGCUCCGCUAUUCAUUGUAGAAGCUUUAAACAUAAAAUUAAACUAAAUCUAAUGCCAAAACAUUAGAAUGGAUGUUGGAAUUAAAGCUAAAUUCAAUAGUAAUCCAAAUGAAUCCAUUUGAACUUUGUAAACUCCGCAGAACAAAAUUAAUUUGAGUGAGCAAACUCACCAAUGGCACAAGAACAGAAGGGCUUCAACUUCUAGGAACAAAAAACAUUGCCGGUGGGACAAAAAUUGACAUUAAUGGCUACAAUACGAAUUAAAGAGAUCAAAACCUAUAAUUACAAGCUAAGAAAGAGAGGAAACUCAUAAUCACAAGCUUACCUGAAACGAAGAGAGAGAAUAAGAUGAAGAAGAAGAUCGCUGCCGUUUUACGCCAUUCUCCGGCUACCAGUAAGGUUUAGGAUGCUGGCCAGGCACGAGAGAGAAUUUGGGACUUUGGUCUUCAAAAUAUUGACUCCAGCAAAUAGUUUUCUAUUUAGAAACAAAUUUAUAACUCUACCGUCACUCUCUACCGUCACGUGGUUAGUAACAUAAGUGAGAGCAGUCUAGCCGUCACAUAAACGGUCACAAAAGCAACUGGCUGUUACAAGUUUAGGAAUGGCAGAUAUUGCCGCGGGGACAUGACCCUCGAGAUUUUCCCAAUUCAGGUGGGUACAUAAUUUUUUACUUAAUUUUUUAUUUGAAAAGGAGACGGAGAUAGUUUUUUUACCUAAUUUCUUAUUCAGAGAAAGAAUGGGGGAUCGGCAGAAUCCCUAUUCUCUUCUAAUUUUUUGAUUUAAUUUUAUUUUUUAAAAUUAUUUGUAAAUAAAUAAUAAAAUAUAAAUAAUAAAAUAUUAAAUAUUAGUAUAAAUAAAAAAAUAAAAUAAUUAUAUUAUUAAAAUUUAGGCCUAAUUGACUACAUUAAUAUUUGGAUGAGAAAGUUAUGCUUAGGAUGAAAGAUUUUAAUAUUUUGAGUUGGUGUAAAAUAAAUGUCUAUAGAUAUCCUAUACUGGCAUGAAUUGCUAGAGAUAUUUUGGCAAUUCUAAUUACAAAUGUUGCUUCUGAAUUAGCUUUUAGCACCAGUGGUAGAGUACCGUAACACGCUUUAUUCAAGCACAUUGGAGGCUUUAAUAUGUUGUCAAAGUUGACUACAAGCUUACAAUGACAGUAUGAGUUUAUUUUACAUUGUAAUUAUAUUAUAUAAUUAUUAAUAUUUUCACUUAGAAUUUACAUUACUUAUAUUAUUUUUGUUGUUUUAAAUUUGAAAUCUGAGGCUAUCUCUCAAUUUGUCACAUUCCUCGAGGAAGAACAAGAAGAGUAGGAGACACAAGAGGUAAAUACUUUUAUUAGAAAUAUUGAUUAAGUAUCUAUAUUCAUUUCAUUUAUCUCAUUGUUGAUAUAAAAGUAAUUUCUUUUUUUUUAUUAUAUGAUUUUGAAGAUUGCCGAAGAUAAUUAUUAUGGUGAUUUAUACUUUGUAAUGUGACUUUUGUAAUAGAUUAAUGUUAAUGUAAGAUAUAUCGUCAAACUUUAUUUUUAUUUUUAUUUUUUAUUUUAAUAUGAUUAAAUUAAAAUUUAAAACUAAAAACGUAUCAGUUAUUCGAGAAUCGAGGACCUUUAAGGAUCCCCUAUUAUUAUUUGGGGAGGGGAGGGGGAUUCCCUAAAGCAAUUUUGUGAAUGGGAAGAGGCCAGGGAUAUAUACAGAAUAUCGAGAAUGGGUACGGGGAGGUCGGUCUCUUCCCCUCCCCUUCCCAUUGCCAUUCCUAACAAAGUUGGCAAUACAUGUACGGGCCGCUUUUGUAAAAUUGCUUUAAGGGUCGUUUGGGAUUGCUUUUGGGAAUAGCAUGCAAGAUAUAUAUAAAAAAUAAAAUCGUAGAAUAACUUUUACCUCUAAUUCGAUUUUUUCUUCUUUUUUGUAAAUUAUUAUGCAUUUAUAUUAAAGUCACUGUGUAUGAUUGGAUUAUUAAAAGUUAUUUGAGAGAAUAUGAAUUGACUUAAUAAGUUAUUACGUGAUUGAUGAUGAUCAGAGCUUACCCAACUGGCAUUAAGUGGAAAAGACUCGAGGAUGACUUUGCAGAGCGAUUUCCCACAACACCUUUUUGGCAGUCUUAAACUACUACAAACAGUGGAUGAUGACUCAACUUGUUUUCCACUUGAUUUACUUGAGAGAUUUCAUAAUCUGGAAACUCUCAUACGGCGUCGUUGUUCAUGCGAAGAGGUAUUUUCGAAUGGAGGAUACUUGAAGAAACAUGUGAGGAAGUUUACAAUGAUAAAACAUUUAGAUCUGCACAAAUUUAAUCAUCUGAAGCAAUUGUGGAAACAAGACUCCAAAUUGGACUCGUUUGUUCAAUGCCUUGAAAUUCUAAAUGUACAUUAUUGUCAAAAUCUGUUAAUUCUUUUGUCUUUGCUGCUAAUUCUUUAAUUCUUUUCGGUUCUUAAGUUUCUCUGUGAUUUGUUCUGGAUUGAUUCUUUUUGCAUCUUGGUUGUUUGAUUUGCGAUCUUGGCGAGUAUUUGGAGUUGAUCAUUAUCGAAUCUGUCACUCCAAACUCUACAGCGACUCUUAUCAAUGUUGGUAUAUGGAUGCAGAGCAAUGAGAGAGGUGGUGAUAAAUGACGAAGAUGGAGCAGCAAAUUUUGAAGAAGAGAUUGUUUUCACCAAAUUGAAGAUUUUGUAUCUGUAUGAUUUGGAUAGUCUCACAAGUUUCUGCUCUGCCAAUUACACCUUCAAAUUCCCAUCUUUGGAAGAUUUAUCUAUAAUUGGUUGUCCCAAGAUGAAGAUUUUCACUAAAGGAGAAUUAAACGCGCCUCUCAGAGUAAACUUCUACUAUGGAGAGAGAGACGAUCAACAGCCUUGGGCUAAUAAUGAUCUUAACACAAUCAUACAGCAUUUACAUGCUGAGAAGGUACGAAUAACUCACUAUCACCAGUGGAAAAAUUUUAUAAAAUUUCUCUUUUAAAUAAAAUGCACCAAAUAGAUCAGAUAUUUGUUAUAAAGUAAGUUUAUGAUCACGUACUGGCAGAUGGGAUACAUAUGUGCUUCAUUCUUGAAACUCUACCCUAUUUAAAAUUGAUAUUUUCACAAGAGUUAGAGAAUCCUAUUCAUUCAAUUAUCCAAAAUCAGAGAAUCUUAUUCAUUCAAUUACAAAAUUUCGUUAAUCGUUAGUUUUUAACUUCAUUACUGUAUGGAAGUCCUGUCAAAUUAAAUUGCUGUUGUUAAAUUUAUUAAAUCUCUUGCUUCCCUGCAAAUCUCUGCGUGCUUUACUUUUAAUUGAAACUAAUGAAUGAAAAUUUUACUUUCAGCUGUUGGAGGGGUCCUCAUCUUAUUCAAUGAUGUAUAUGUCCUAAUGGCAUUGGCCUUUUACUUUAAUUACAAGCGAGUUGUGAAUUUGAAAAACAAAGUCCCAGGUAAUUCAAUUUCAUUUCAUUUUAUUUUAUUUCUUGGCUUGUUUUAUCGCUUCAUCUAAAUUGUUUGGAAUACACCACUAGUUUAUUUUUACUUUUAGAAUGAGUUUUAAUGUUUUGUUCUGAGAUUUAUAUGCUGAUUUUAUAUCAUUAAAGGUCUUAGUGACUUAGUUUGGUCUUCACUUAUUUAUUUAUUUAUUUUUUUGACGUCGUGGCUUUAUAAUGUGUUUUUUUUUUUAAUUUUGAAUUUUAUAAUUCCUUGAAAAUGUCAUUGAAAGGGCCAGCACUUUUAUGUGGAAACCAUCUCAUCCUCCUUAUUUCAAACUAUUAAACAACCAAAUGUAUCCUAACAUAUAUGUUUAGAAUCAAUCUACUCAUUAAGAUAUAUGGUAAUGGUGUCAUCUGUUUGCUAUAGUUUGAUUACAAGAGAACUUUUCCAUUUGUUAGUUGCCAUCUUUGUUGAUCUGUUAAUUCAGUCUUCUUCUGUUUGUCCUGUUUAUCUGUUUAUUUCAACCUUUCUUUCAAAACUUAGAAGGUAUGGAAAGAGCAAGUACUUAGAAAUUGCGAGAAUUAUAUCAAAUCAUGCAUAUAUGCCCCUGCCUAUGAACUCUUAGGAACAAUCGAAUAUCUUUCCUUGAAUAGCAUAAAACAAAAUCUACAGAUCAUUAAACCAUCAAAAGUUAGCUAUGAACAACUAUAUAAAAAUCAUUUGUUUCUCACCUUUUCGUGAGUCUGAGAAGUUGUAAAUUCUACUGAGUUUCUCACCUUUUUUUUUUUUUGGACAAUUGGAGUUUUUAGUUUAUGAAACUUAAUGCCUAUAUUUCUCACAUUGUAAAAGUGUUUUGAAAAGAUGGUUUAUAUUGCACCAUAAAAAUGUGGUCUGAUAAACCAACAGGGGAGUAGUUUGAUCCAGUUACGUGAAAUGCAUGCAAAAUAAUAUUUUCUCUAUAGUUACUGAAGAGAAUUUUGGUCACUUUGGUGUGCAUUAUCUGGAAUAAAGUCGUUUUCCAGUUUCUUCAAAGUUUAUGUGCGGAGGACUUCCGGUUUCCAUCUCAAGUUCAAAUACUAAUAAAGAUGAGUAAAUUCAUCAUCCGUGUGUCUGCUCUUUCUAUGCAUUUUGACAUUUUUUAUUAAUGCGUCUUUAACAGUAGUUUUUUUUCACAGAAAAAAUUGUCAGUAUUUUGUGUCAAAUAAAAAAUUAAAAAAUAUAUAUGUAUUUUGGGCGAAACUUUUUGCGAAAAAUAAUGAGUGCCAACACUUUAUAACUUAAUAUGUAUUUUGGGCUUGGCGAAGUUACGGUUCAUGUAACUAAUCAAUUUAAUCAUUACCGGAUAAAAUUGAAUACACCAGUAGUGUUUUUCCACGGAGAUAUUGCCAAAUUUUGUGUCAAAUAAAGAAUAAAAACCAUAAAUACCAGUAGUGUCCGAUUUUGAAAGCAAAGCAGCAUACAUAUUAACUACUAGGCUUUGAUGGUGGUUGCAGUAAAAAGGAUUAAAAGAGAGAGAGAGAGAGAACUUGAAAACUAUGGAAUGGAAGAUAAAUCAAAGUUAUAAAUUUGGACUCAAUAGUUUUGAUGUUCAAUCAAAUAUGGAGGGGCGAUUAGAAAUUAUCAAAAAUUUAGAGGGAUUUCAACCGUUCAAUUCAUUAUUAGGCGUUGUAGACUGCAGGGAUGCAGAAAUUUCCACAGGGACGAUGGCCCCGAGGGAUCUUCCUCAUUCGGGAGUUUGAUAAUUUUAGAUCUAAUUUUUCUAUGUGGAGACAAGACUGUGAUCAAUUAAUAUGUGUGGGUGUAAGUUACAUGAAAUAUAACUUAGUGUUUGCCCUAAUAUUUUAUUUGGCUCCACAUUUUUCUAUUUCUAUCUUUAGUUCUAUUUUUAAUUAAUUUAUUUCAAAUUUAUAGUAAAUACAUUUAAAAUUUCAAUUAUAAUAGUGUGAUGUAAAUAAAAAAUAUCACAAUACAUUUAUAAAAAUAAUAUAAAUAACAGCCAAUAUAAAGUAAAUAUAAACAUUUUAAAAUUGACAAAGAUAAUUUAAUUGAUGGUUUAUACUAUAUGACAUUUAUGGAUGAGUUCAACUUUGAAGAUUUACUUUUGCUUAAUUAGUUCAAAGAUUAUCUUCUAAUUUGAUGACAUUGACUUAAUUUGAUGGAAAUGAUUUUAAUCACUUUAGUUAAUUUGAUAUUUUUUGUGUUAAUAUGAUUUUAUAUUUUUACUUUAAGAUGAUUAAAUUAAGAAAAAAAAGAAAUUAAAUAAUCAGAGAUCGGAUAGCAUCGGAGAUCCCUUUGUAUUAUUUAGAAACAUCCAUCCCCUUCUUUCAAGUGAUUUUGAAGGAAAUGUCUAGAGUACAAAGAGAUAGACAGAGUAUUAAAGAUGAGUAUGGGGAAAUCAAUCCCCUCUCCUUCCCUUCUUAUUGACAUCUUUACAUGUGAGCCCAAGGGGAAAUGCACCAUGCCUGAUAAAAGUAAAAUUAAAAAUAAAAAUUUUCUUUUAUCAAAUCACUCUAUGUGGUGGAGAUUAUUGUAUAAUCAAGUACACAUGGCAUUUUUAAAAGCUUUUUCUUUAUUUAAAGCUCUAAAGGUUUGCCUAAGAGUCAAGGUUGGUGCCGUUCUUCUAGAAGAACAACCCGUAUCUUUUGAUAUUCAAAGUUUGAAUAUCAAGUUCAAACUUUAAAUUUUGAAAUAAUAAUAAUAAUAAAUAUAAAAAGUGCCAAAUUUUUAGCUAUAAAUAGAGGGGUUCACCCCCUCAUUUCACUCAUUCCAUUCUUUUCUUCUUUAGUUCUAUAAUGAGAGAGUAAGAGUUUUAUACUCUUGAGUGACUAGUGUUUAGAGAGAUUGGGUGUAUUAAGGUUUUGAUAAGUGAAACAAAAUACUAAAAUACUUAUAAUUCUCAUUUCACUAGUAAAGUUUUAUCCUUUUGUCCUUGCCUAUGGGCAUAAGUUAAAAGCCGAACCAAAUAAUUUAUGGUGUCCUCUGUGUGCUUGUUCUUCAUUUUCUUCCAAUUUCAUUUUAGUCGUGGCCCUACUUCACCAAUCAAUUUUCUAAUAGUGGUAUUAGAGCCGGGUUGUAUUUUUUGGGGUCGAGAUACUAUUUACAUAUAUUGUAUUGUUCAUGUAUAUGAUAUUGUUUCUGUAUACGACACUUUAUUCAUAUAUACAGUUACUGCUCAUGUGAAAUGGUAGGAAUCGAUCUUAGCAAAGGUAGCUCGUGGUGAAAAGUGAUGGCGGAAAAAUACAAAAUUGAGAAGUUCAACAGAAAUAAUUUUUCGUCAUGAAAAAUGAAGAUGAAGGUUGUAUUGAGGAAAAGUAAUUGCUUGGCAGCAAUUGAAGAGAGGCUCACAAAGAUAACUAAUGAUGGCAAGUGGAAUGAGAUAGACAAUAAUGCCAUUGCAUAUCUACACUUACCACUUUCAGAUAGGGUAUUUUUCAAUAUGGUAGAGUAAAAGAGAGUAAAGGAAAUAUGGUUUACUCUCACAAGACUAUACGAGGUCAAAUCACUACAAAAUAAAAUCUUCUUAAAGAUGAGGCUUUAUACUCUUCAAAUGGAGGAAUCUACAUCAGUGAUCGACCAUAUCAACACUUUAAAGACUUUAUUUUCAUAACUUACAACGUUGGGUCAUAAAAUAGAGGAAAAUAAACAUAUAGAGCUUUUACUUCAAGGUUUACCAGAUUCGUAUGAUCAAUUCGUCAUUAAUAUAACUAAUAACAAUCGAGCAAACAAGUUAGUCUUUGACAAUAUGGCAGCCUCCGUAUUAAAUGAGGAGAGUAGCAAAAAAUAAAAAAGAUAGACAGAAGAGUUCGCAACAAGUAGAAGCGCUAUUGGUGAUGAAAGGAAGAUCCAUGGAACGUGGCCCUAGUGAGAGCCACAGUCACGGUAGAUCAAAAUCUAGAAGUAAAAAGAAUGUCAAAUGCAACAACUGUUGCAAGAAAGGGCAUGUCAAGGAAGAGUUUUGGAACAACUAGAAGAGAAGAGAUGGUAAAGAUUCUGAGUCAUCAAAUGCUCAAGGGUAUGUAGUAAGUACCUCGUAUGAUGGCAAAAUUCUCUACAGUAAGGCAACAACUGCUUCAGAAGAUAGAAAACCACUAUAUGACAUCUGGCUUAUAGACUUAAUAGUUGCCUGGCACAUGAUCUCUCCAAGAGAAUGAUUUCACAAAUAUGAACCUAUUUCAAGAGAAUUUGUAUACAUAGGUGAUGAUUAUGCCUUUGAGAUUACUGAUAUUGGUACUGUCAAAAUAAAUAUGUUUAAUGGUAUGGUUCGCACAAUUGAGAAGGUAAGACAUGUCAAAGACUUGAAAAAUAUCUCUUGUCUUUAGGACAAAUAGAUAGUCUUACGCGCAAAACUCAUGUAGAAAAUGGGAUCAUAAAGAUAGUCAAAGGCGCACUUGCAUUAAUGAAGGUGGAAAAGAUCGGUGAUAAUUUAUUCAUGCUUAAAGGGAAACACUACAGAAAGCUUUUGUGUCAGUCACAUCAAAUAGAGAAAAUUCAGUGAUGAUGUGGCAUCUUAAACUUGGCCACAUGUCAAAACAAGGAAGCAACAUAGAUGAAAGUUUAGCAGAUCCACUUUCAAAAGUAAAUGUAUUUUAGACUUGAUUCAUUCUAAUGUUUGGGAAUCAAUUGAUAUAUCUAUGGGAGGUGCAAAGUACUUGGUGACUUUUAUUAAUGAUUAUUCUAGGAGAUAUUUGGUGUAUCCAAUCAAGAAAAGGUCAAAUGUAUUUCCAUUGUUCAAAGAAUUCAAAGCGUAGAUUGAACUUAAAUCAGGGCAAGGGAUCAAGUGCCUGAGGACAGACAAUGGUGGAGAGUAUACAAAUAGCAUGUUUCUUGCAUAUGUAAGCAAGAAAGUAUCUAGAGAUAGUUCACGGUGGCAUACACUCCUCAAUAAAAUAGAGUAGUAGAGUGAAAGGGCAUGACUCUUAUAAAAAAAAAAAGAGUUAUGUUGAGAAAUGCUGGUCUACCAACUCAUUCUAGGUGGAAGUAGCAAAAACUACUUAUUAUGUGGUAAGUGGGUCAUCAUUCAAUGCAACCGGGUUGAAAAUUCCAAUGGAAAAAAUAGACAGGAAAGCCAGUUGAUUACUCUCAUCUCAGGCAUUUUGAUGUCCUUUUACGUGAUAUACAAUACCCAAGUGAGAUUAAAGAUGGAUCCAAAAUCCAAGAGAUGUAUCUUCUUAGGAUAUAUUGAUGGAGUGAAAGGGUAUUAUCUGUGGGACCUCAAUGCCCAUAAGAUCGUUAUCAGUAGAGAUAUUAUCUUUGUAGAAGAUCAAAUGCAAAAGAGAGAUAUGGAUGAUAGCACUAUAAAAAUUCAGAGAUUGUGCUAAUAUAUGUUGAAAAUAAUCUGGAAAAUGAAGAUUUAGAUUUUUUUGAAGCAGCACCAAAGUAUGAGAACAAGAACCAAUCGAGUCUGAGGCCCCAAAAGUUUGUUGGUCAACUCGUGAUAGAUAAUUGUCAGUGUGGCAUUUGGAUUAUGUCACAGAUAUCAAUUUUGCAUACUGUCUUUUAAUAGAGAAUGGAAAGCCAUCAACUUUUCAUGAAACCUUAAACAGCUCAGAUGUUACUUUGUGAAUGAUAGCAAUGCAGGAAGAAAUUAAGGCUCUACACAAGAAUAUGACAUAGGAACUCGUACUACUACUAUAUGAAAAAAAAAAGACCCAUUGGUUGGAAAUGGGUCCAUAAGAUCAAACGUGAUGGUAAUAACCUAGUGGAGCGGUAUCAUGAAAGAUUGGUGAUGGAAGAAUAUCCUUAGAAAGAAUGUAUUAACUUCAAUGAGAUAUUUUCUCCAGUGAUUUGACUCAGGACAGUCAGAGUGGUCUUGUCGAUGUGUGCUACAUUUGACCUAUAUUUGGAGCAGUUAGAUGUGAAAAUUUCAUUUCUUUAUGGAGAACUUGAAGAAAAGAUUUCUAUGCUCUAACUAGAAGGUUUUACUAAAAAGGGACACUUGGUUUGCAAGUUAAACAAAUCUCUAUACGAUCUCAAACAUGCACCGAGAUGUUGAUAUAAGAGAUUUGAUCCAUUCAUCAUAAACCUUGGAUACAAUAGAAUCAGUUCAGACUGUUGUACAUAUUACAACAAGUUUGAUAAUAAUAAUUUCAUCAUUCUACUGUGGUAUGUUGAUGACAUAUUAGUAGCAGGCCCCAACAAAGAUCGAGUCCAAGAACUAAAGCACAGUUAACUAGGGAGUUUGAAAUAAAAGACUUAGAACCAGCAAACAAGAUUUUAGGGAUGCAAAUUCACCGAGAUAGUAAUAGCAAAAAGAUUUGGCUUUCUACCCCGCCUCCCAUUAAUUUCAAGUUAUUCUUAAGUAUUCAUCUAGUAAUGAAGUAGAGAAGAAGAGAUGUCUUGAGUACUGUAUGCAUCAGCAGUGGAAAAUUUAAGGUUCGCUAUGAUUUGUACAAGUAGUGGGAGAGGUUAGUCGAUACAUAGCGAAUCCUUGCAAAGAACAUUGGAAGACUAUUAAGAGGAUUCUGAGAUAUAUCAUAGGAACAUCAGAUGUUGCAUUAUGUUACGAAGGAUACUGUCAAGGGCCAUGUGCAUUCAGAUUUUGCAGAAAAUCUUAAUAAAAAAAAAUCCACUACUGGCUAAGUAUUUGCACCAGAAUGAGAAAUUGUUAGUUGGAUUUCAAAAUUGCAGACCAUUGUGGCUUUAUCAACAACAGAAGCAGAUUACAUAGCAGCUACACAAGCUUGGAUGAGCUAUUUAGAUACAAAGGUUACUGAAGGAGCUUGGGCAUAAAAUUUUUUAUGGCUUGUGAUAGUUAGAAUGCAAGGAAUCCAACCUUUUAUUUUAGGACAAAGAAUAUAGGAGUACAAUAUCACUUCUUCGUGAAGUAGUGAAAGAUAUAAGAGUGGAUACCAAGGAGAACUUAACAAAUGUUUUGCCCAAGCCUAUCAAUGCUGAUAAAUUUGUUUGGAGUAGAUCAUUUUACGGCCUAGUAGAGACAUAAACAACAUGACAGCGGCGAAGUAGAAAGGAUGGUGUGGAGAUUGAUUGAUUCUCAAUCAAAUUUCUAAGUGGGAGAAUAUCAAAGUCAAUGUCGCUUUUCUAGAAGAGCGACCAAUACCUUUUGAUAUUCAAAGUUUGAAUGUCAAGUUCAAACUUUGAAUUUAAUAUAUAUAUAUAUAUAUAUAUAUAUAUAUAUAUAUAUAUAUAUAUAUAUAUAUAUAUAAAUAGUGCCCAAAAUUUUAACUAUAAAUGAGGGGUUCACCCCUGCAUUUCAUUCUUUUCUUCUUCAAUUCUAGUGUGAGAGACUAAGAGUUUUAAUGCUCUUGAGUGAUUAGUGUUUUAAGAGAUUGAGUGGAUUGGGGUUCUGGGAAGUGAAACAAAAUAUUAUAAUACUAGUAAUCCUCAUUUCACCACUAAAGUUUUAUCUUUUGUCUUUACCCAUAGACGUAGGUUAAAAGUCGAACCACGUAAUUUUUAGUGUCCUCUGUGUGCUUGCUCUUCAUUUUCUUCCAAUUUUAUUUUAGCUAUGGACCUACUUCACCAGUAAAUUGAAGACGUUGGAACUGCGUGAUUUAGAUAGCCUCACAAGUUUCUGCUCUACCAAUUACACCUUCAAAUUCCCAUCUUUGCAAGAGUUAUGUGUGAUUGGUUGUCCCAAGAUGAAGAUUUUCACUACAGGAGAAUCAAUCACGCCGAGUAAACGUCUGCUAUGGAGAGACAGCGGAUCAACGGCGCUGGGCUAAUAAUGAUCUAAACACAACCAUACAACAAUUACAUGCUGAGAAGGUACGUAUAUACAUAUUACUCUCUAUCUCCCAUGAUAAAUUUUUACAAAAUUUGCUUUCUUAAAUACAAUAUAGAUAAGAUAUUUGAUGAAUAAGAAUUUUAUUUUAAGCUGUUGGCGGUGUCGUCGUCAUACUCUACGCAGUAGUACGACUAAUGUCAUAGGCUUCUUAUGACCUGGAGUUGCGAAUUUUUAGAAGAAAGUCUCAACUGGUAAUUAAUUUUUAUUUCAUUUAUUUAAUCCCAUGGCUUGUUUCGCAAUUUCAUCUGAAUUAUUUAGAAUGGGUCCCUCGGUUUACUGUUAAAUUUGCAAUGCAAUUUUAAUGAUCCUUUCAGACUUUUAUGGACAGAUUUUGCAAAAUUGAAUGUCUUUUAGUCUAGUUUAAUUUGAGUUUUUCUUUUUUUUUUUAGAGCUCCCCAUGUUUUCUAAAAUUUUAUAAUUCCUUGCAUACUUUUUAGGAUAAAAUUUCAUUAAAAGCCUUCAUAUUUUAUAAUUCCUUGAAAACUUGCAUACUUUUUCCUUUUUUUUUCUUGCCAAUUAUUUAUUGUCAUCAUUGCUGUUCUUUUAUUUUAGUUUGUGCUCUGUUUGUUCAUUGGGUUUGCUUUUCGGAAAGUUAGAAGGCAAGGAAAGUACUUAGAAAAUGUUCUUCCCUAUGAACACAUAAUUAACAGCUGAAUAUCAUUCAUUGGAUUAAAAAAAAUUAAAAUAAAAAAAAGUAAUAAGCCCAUUAUUCCUAGAACAAAUCCUUAAACCAUCAAACGUUAGCUAUGAACAAGUAUAUUGGUCUAUAGCAUAUUCAUAAUAUUUUCUCUGCUGUUCCUGUUAAAAUUUCUCUACUCAAUGAUCGCAGAAUAUCUGGAUACUGAUGAAGAUUUAAGUCACUCUUCUUCUAUGAAUAAGGUCGUUUUUCUUUUUUCUUCUAUUCAAAGUUUCCAUUCUGAGCAGUUCCCAUUUCCAUCUUCGUGAUCUUCUUGUGAUAGUGUGAGUUACAACCUGUCUGUUUCCUUUGUUUGAUCAUUGCAAGUUCAAAGACAUUUUAUUCUAGCUAAGCUCUUUGUAUGUAUUAUAACAUUUUUAUUCUCAAUAUAUAUAUGACUCAAUGAGAGGUCUUUUAUUAUAUUUAUGUCGUGAAUUUCUAUUGUAUUGUGACAUUUGAUGGUGUAUCAUUGUCUCAUUGCAAGGUCUUGUAAUCACUCUGAUUCUCAUUUGAGGAGGUUGGUCUCGUCUAUGUGUAUGUAUUUAUAUCCACAAGAAAUUUGAUAAAUGGUCUUGUCAUUUUCUCAUCAAAACAUCUAGUGCUUCAUAUGUUGGAGGGCUACCAGGCAUCAGGGCCAGUUUUUUAAACUCAAAGUUCUUCCUGUCAUUUUUUAACAAUAAUAAGGAAAGCCCAAGAGAAAAUCUAGAAGUCCUAAUAAGGACCGCUUCUGCAUAUAUUGUUCAUUUUCUUAAUUACCUUCAUUAUUAUUUUCGUUUUCAAUCGAUCAAACUUCAGUUUCUUAGCAUUAAUCUAAUUAUGUACUUCAUCUUGAAAUCCUUAAAUUACCCAUCAAAAUGUGAACGAUUAGUGUAUCAUUUUUGCACUAUAAGAAAUAGUUGUAUUACCGACCAGACAUUUCCACAAUAUACUAUUGAAAAUAAGUACUUUUUACAAAGGUAUUGUCAUUGAUGAGCCGUUGGAUAAAUAUGAAAAGUAUCAUACCUCGGUGAUAAAGAAAAUUCGUUUGUCGGAAAUGGAAUGUCGAGCCCAAAAUUACUCUAAACUUGGUAAAGUUAGAUUUUGGCCCAAUUUGUUUGAAAGUUUUAUACAUAAAGCACUUUUUUUUUUAUGUAAUUUGUGCAAUCUGAAGGGAGGUAUUGUAAAAUUAACAUAAAUAAAUGUAAUAUGCCAAUACCGUUUAAAACAAAAAAGAUAUCAUGAAAUUGAAAAAAAAUAAAUAAUAAUAAUAAUAACAACAUUAAAAGAAAAAGGAAAUUACGGAGAAGAAUAAUCGCUUCUUGAUCUCAACUCUCAAUUUGAAUACAAUCUCUGAAUCUCACUUCUCGAUCUGUCUCCAUUCUUCAUUCGCAUUUACUCGGUGGUAAUUAAUUCUUCACUCUCACUCGCCUUAUUUCCUGCAGAUUUCUUCAUUUUCCUUCACUGUUCGUUUUUAAGGUUCCAUUGUAUUUCCAUUGAGUUUGCAACUGUUCAAUUGCUCGAUCCACAUUAGUUUUAAGGUACGAUUGUUGGUUAUUUUCCUAAUCAAUAGACAACCCUAGAUACGAUCAUAGGAUUUAAUCAAUUGACAGUCUGAAAAAUCAGAGAGACCCAAAUCCUAAUCAACAAACGCAUACGAUGAUUCAUUUAAAUUAGAUUGUUUAUUCUCAUAACACAAUGCACUGCUAUGCUAUUUGUCACAAACAUUAAAAUCUUCAUACGAUAAAUCUUUUAAUUGACAAUAGAUUAAGUUGAUAAUUAAAUAGUAGCCAAUUAUCUAAUUAACAAACAUAAUCAUGACAAUAAUUCAGAGAAUAAACAAAUACCCAAAAAGUAAUAAAAUAAUUAAAGUAUAAGAAAGAUCUCACAGCAGUGAUGAAUCAAAGUUUCAUUAACCUUCAACCAGAAUAAUAGAUUUAGUUUUUCAUAGACAGGAGAGAAAAAUUUAGAUCUAGGGUUUCUUUCUCUUCAAAAAUCUCCGUCUUUGACAAUAGAUUCCUCCCUUAAAUUCUCUUCUCUCUCUUCUCCUCUAGAGUUCUUUUUAAAAUAAAAUACUAAUUUCUAAAAUAUUAUCUAAAUAUUAAAUGCGUAAUUACAAAAAUAACUAAAAAUACAAAACACGUUAAACUAAAAACUGCAGGUCCGUAGUAGACAGCAUGCGCCCACACCUUAUCAACAAAGUUCUUCUGAAGCUCAUAAUUUCUUCAAGAAAACAAUCAUCCUCAAACAUCAUCUUGUAGCUCAAUUUUAGCACCAAUCAAUAAAAUUGCACCUACCAAAAUAAAACACAAGUAAAUCACUAUUAUUAAGUGCAAAACAUCGAUAUUAAAAGAAGUAAAUAAUGCAAAACUAGUGCAUAAAUUGUACUCUAACACUUCAUUCCGAUCCCUUGAUCAUUACUCAUUUAUUUAUUUAUUCUUUGCUUCACUUCUAAGCUUAGCAAAGGAACUUGAACUUUGGCUUUUCAAAUAGGUCACUUUUGCUUUUAAUCUCGCCCAUGAUCUUCAUCAUGAAGAUGACAAACCAUUAUUCUUUAUUCUUCACUUUUGCUUUUAAUCUCGCCCAUGAUCUUCAUCGUGAAGAUGACAAACCAUUAUUCUUUAUUCUUCACUUGUUGAAUUUACAGAAUAUAUAGCAUUCUUAAAAUUUUAGCAAAUCGUUAUUCUUCAGCUUCAGCACCUCAUUAAAAAGUCAUUCUUUGAACUUAUUCUCAAUCAAGAAAAACAUAUGCGUUCGUUCGUUGUAGUCACUGUUGUUUUGUUAUUAAUGUUUGCUCCCUAUUGCCGUUAACUCUCUUGAGCUUCACAGGAUCAGGAAACCCUUUUCUCUUGGCAUCUGUUUUGUUGUAAUCUCUCAGUCCUUGUUGAUUAGUUUCUCUCCGCUCCCAAUUUAGUUGUGUCCUGCUGUUGUCUCUGUUUUGUUCCAUAUCUACUCUCUGCACUUCUGCUGUGUCAAGACAUCUUCUUUUGUUCAUUCGGUUGUGGUCUAUAAUAUAUUUUUCAUCUUUCUUUUGGUCUAUACUUAAGUUAUUUUGAUUGGUUCCUUUCUCCUUUAUUAUCUAAAUCCCUCCUUAUAUUUAUUCAAUCAGUUGUUACGCUUUCUUUCAUUUCUCCGCUUCCACAACCAGAUAAACUGUCCAUCUUUGUUGUUUCUUCUUUUUUCUCUUCUGUGGUUGGCUCUUGUUUAUUUGCUUUUCAGAACUCAAAAAAAAAAAAAAAAUAGAAGGAUCAAAGAUGGUGGAAACCAUUAUUACUGUUGUUUUGGAAGUUGUGAAAUGCUUGGCUCCUCUAGCAGAACGCCAACUUGGUUAUUUACGUAACUAUAAAACCAACUUUGAGAAUCUCAGGGCAAAAUUUGAUGAACUCAAGGAUGAAAGUAGGAGCAUUCAGCACAGAGUUUCUGAGGCUGAAAGAAAAGGAGAAAAGAUUGAAGAGAAGGUUGAAAAGUGGCUGGUUAGUGCAAACGACAUCAUUGACAGCGCAGCCAAAUUCAUUGAAAAUGAGGAGUCAACGAAUAAGCGUUGUCUCAAGGGCUUGUGUCCUAAUUUGAAGACCCGCUAUCAGCUUAGCAAGAAAGCAGAGACAGAAAUGAAGGCCCUUGUUGAACUUGGAGAAGAAGUAAAGAAGUUUGAUAUUGUUUCCCACCGUACCAUUCCGGAGGAGAUUUGGCUCAAGUCUCACAUAGGCUACGAGGCCUUCGAAUCAAGACGUUCUACUUUGGAGGCUAUAAAAAAAGCAUUGAUCGAUGUUAGCAUCAUUGGGGUGUACGGCAUGGGCGGCAUUGGAAAGACGACACUGGUGAAGGAGGUCUCCAGGCAAGCUAUGGAAGCCAAGCUCUUUGAUAUGGUGGUCUUUUCAGAGGUUUCGCAAACUCCAGACAUAAAAAAGAUUCAACAGGAAAUUGCCGAGAAGUUGGGCCUGGAGUUGCGCGAGGAAGUUGAAUCUGGAAGAGCAAGUAGACUAUUUGAGCGAUUGAGAAAUGAGAAGAAGAUCCUUGUGGUUUUAGAUAACAUCUGGAAACACCUUAAUUUGGAGACUGUUGGAAUUCCUUUUGCAGAAGAUCAUAAAGGAUGCAAACUACUGCUGACAGCAAGAGAUCGUAGUGUCCUCUUACAAAUGGGAUCCAAAGACAACUUUUUGAUAAACAACUUAAAAGAAGAAGAAGCCGGGAGAUUGUUUAAGAUGAUGGCCGGUGAUGAUGUUGAAAAUCGUGAGUUGAAAUCUACAGCAAUAGACGUCGCCAGGGCAUGUGGAGGUUUGCCCAUUGCCUUGAGUACGGUAGCAAAGGCAUUGAGAGGCAAGAGUCUGCAUGAAUGGAAGAAUUCCUUGCGAGAACUCCGAACGCCUUCAAUGGUAAACUUCGAAGGAGUAUCUGCAGAGACUUAUGCAAGUAUUGAGCUGAGUUUCAACCAAUUAAAAGGUGAACGCAAGGAAAUUUUUCAGCUCUGCAGUCUAAUGGGUAACCGUAUUUUUACUUUCGACUUGUUUAAGUACUCCAUGGGUUUGGGUAUAUUUAAAGGAGUCAAUAAGAUGGAAGAUGCACGAGACAAAUUAUAUGCAUUGGUCCAUGAACUUAGAGACUCUUGUUUGUUGCUUGAGGGUGAGAGCAAUGAACAAUUGUCAAUGCAUGAUGUUGUUCGCGAUGUCGCGAUAUCAAUUGCAUGCCGCCAGCAACAUGUGUUUUCGGUGAGGAAUGAGGAUGUGUGGGACUGGCCAGAUAAGGAUGCACUUCGAAAUUGCAAAGCUAUCUCUUUAAUAAAAAAUAGUAAUCGUGAAUUUCCUGAAGGAUUAGAAUGCCCAAACCUUGAAUUUUUAUAUAUCUCUCUCAAAGAUUUUUCUCUUGAAAUCAAUAUUCCUGAGAACUUUUUUGUAGGGAUGAAAAAGCUUAGAGUUCUAGAUUUUACUCGAAUGCAGUUUUCUUCUUUUCCAUCUUCAAUUGAUCUUCUAGUAAAUCUUCACACACUAUGUCUGGAUAAAAGUGCGUUGGGCGACAUAGCAAUCAUUGGGAAGUUGAAGAAUCUAGAAGUCCUUAGCUUUUUGAAGUCUGAUAUAACGCAGUUGCCAGAAGAACUAGGUCAAUUGAAUAAGUUGAGAUUGUUAGAUUUAACCAAUUGUUUCCGUCUGAAAGUUAUUGCCCCAAAUGUCAUAUCAAGCUUAAUCCGAUUAGAAGAGCUGUAUAUGGGUAAUUGCUCCAUUGAAUGGGAGGUUGAAAGAGCCAACAGCAAAAGAAGUAAUGCUAGCCUUGAUGAAUUGAUGCAUUUACCUCGGCUAACCACUCUAGAAAUUGAUGUUAAAAAUGACAGUAUGUUACCAGAAGGUUUUUUGGCCAGAAAGCUCGAAAGGUUCAAAAUAUCUAUUGGAAAUGGGUUAUUCACACAUCCCAUGAUUGCUGAACAAAAUUGGUUCCAAAGUCUGCGGCGCUUUUCUCGCAAAAGUGAUCGCAAGAGUUUAAGAGCAUUGAAGCUCAAGCUUGCUUUUAUGGACAUUUGCUCCAUGAAAUUGCAGGGCAUCAAUAACGUAGAAUGCUUAUGGUUGGACAAGCUGCAAGGCAUCGAGAAUGUUCUUUUCAAUUUGGACACAGAGGGCUUUUCACAAUUGAAGCUUCUCUGGGUUCAAAAUAAUCCUGACAUCUUUUGUAUCGUCGAUUCAAGGGCGAUGGUCGCUUGUGAUGCCUUUCCUCUUUUGGAGUCACUUGGCCUUCACAAUUUGAUCAACAUGGAGAGGAUAUGUAUUGAUCGGCUCAAAGUAGAGUCCUUCAACGAACUCAAAAUCAUACAAGCAUAUAAUUGUGAUAAAUUGAGUAAUAUCUUUUGGCUCUCUACAACAAAAUGCCUUCCAAGACUUGAGAGAAUUGCAGUUAUUAAUUGCAGCAAGAUGAAAGAGAUUUUUGCAAUUGGGGAAGAAGUUGAUAAUGCAAUUGAGAAGAUAGAGUUUGCUCAAUUAAGAUCUUUGAGUCUGGGGAAUCUUCCAGAGUUUACAAGUUUUUGCCGUGAGGUGAAGACUCCUUCAGCAUCACCAAACAGACCAGCGUCGCAGGAGGAAUCGACGACUACGUAUAGCUCCAGCGAAAUCACUUUGGAUACUUCAACUCUGCUUUUCAACGAGAAGGUGCGUAGGCUAACAUUUUCUUUAUUCUAUCAUGCGUUCUGUUUUGAUGUCAUACGUGGAAAAUAAUUAAAUCAUUUAAAGAAUUGAAAGAAAAUGGAAAAAAGGAUAAAAAGAAUCUCACGCGCUCACUAAUUGAGCUCUUAACAAGUAGUAUGAAUUAGAAUGCAUACUCAGCUGUCAGUUGGAAAUUGAUUCAGACUUGCAUUAAUUUGUAAUCAAAGAAGAAAAUUUCAACAAGUGCUUCCCAUAUGGAUAUUGGAUCUAACGAGAAAUUCUUCUUUUUUUAGGUUGCGUUGCCUAACUUGGAGGCUUUGGAGAUAUCUGCAAUUAAUGUCGACAAGAUUUGGCACUACAAUCAAAUUCCAGCGGCCGUGCUUCCUCACUUUCAAAGUUUAACACGAUUGAUUGUGUGGGGUUGUCACAAAUUAAAAUACAUAUUUUCAGCGUCUAUGAUCGGAAGCCUUAAGCAGCUCCGACACCUAGAUAUACGCUUCUGUGAGGAUUUAGAGGAGAUCAUUUCUGAAAACAGAGCAGAUGAAGUUAUCCCUUAUUUUGUCUUUCCACAGCUCACCACUCUAAGACUCGAAUGUCUACCAAAACUUAGAUGUUUGUACCCUGGAAUGCAUACUUCGGAAUGGCCCGCACUAGAAAUUCUUUUAGUGGGUCGUUGUGACAAAUUAAAGAUAUUCGAUGCAGAUUUAUCGCAGAAUAAUGAGAAUGAUCAACUUGGUAUUCCUGCACAACAGCCCCUAUUGCCGUUGGAAAAGGUACGAAGCCAUUUUCUAGAUUUUUUAUCAAUAGCGUAUUUUUAACUUCGAAAAAAAUGACAAAGCAUCGAUAAAUUAACACUCAAUAAAUUGAAAACUUUUAUUAUACAAUAAUCUUUGCUAGUCUAGAUUAAGAGAUCAAUGUGGUAGAUUAAUAAUUAUAUGAACUUUUUAAGGUAUAGCAUUUAUAAAAGAAUCCUUAGUCUUUCCAUAUAGAAGAACUUACAAAAUAAAUUAGUAAUUUAUUAUUGUGCAAUAAAAUAAUUUCAAACCAGUAUAAAUCAACCUUUUUUCCCUAAUUUCUUUUUUACCUCUAAAAUUAACAUAUAAAAUAAAUUUUAUCAAUAAUUCAUUUUUUUUUUAAAAUAUAAUAUAAAACAAAUACUAUAAAGUCACUGCGUGUGACCGUAGAUCAUCAAUUGACCUCAUUAGUUAUUAUGAUUGAUGAUGAUCAGAUCGUACCCAACUUGAAGGAACUAUCACUAAGUGGAAAAGAUGUGAAGAUGAUUUUGCAGGCCGAUUUCCCACAACACCUUUUUGGCAGUCUUAGAGAACUAGAGAUUGCUGCAGAUGACUCAGCUGGUUUUACAAUCUGGAACGUACUGGAGAGAUUUCACAAUCUCGAAAUACUCACACUGUUGUUUUUUUCAUCCCACGAAGAGCUAUUUUCGAUGGAAGGAUGCUUACAGAAACAUGUGGGGAAGUUGGCAAUGAUAAAAGAAUUACAGCUGCGCUGGCACUAUCAUCUGGAGCAGCUGUGCAAGCAAGACUCCAAACUUGGCCCCAUUUUUCAGUAUCUUGAAAUUCUAAAAGUAUAUCAUUGUCAAAGUCUGUUAAUUCUAUUGCCAUCAUCAUCGGUAUCUUUUGGGAACCUAACAAAACUUGUAGCUUUCGGUUGCAAGGAAUUGAUACACUUGGUAACAUCCUCCACAGCAAAAACUCUGGUGCGACUCAUAGCAAUAGAAAUAUAUGGAUGCAGAGCAAUGACAGAGGUGGUAAUAAAUGACAAAGAUGGAGUUGAAAAAGAAGAGAUUGUUUUUAGCAAAUUGAAGACGUUGGGACUGUUUGAUUUAGAUAGCCUCACAAGUUUCUGUUCUGCCAAUUACACCUUCAAAUUCCCAUCUUUGGAAUAUCUGGAUGUGAUUGGUUGUCCCAAGAUGAAGAUUUUCACUACAGGAGAAUCAAUCACGCCUCUAAGAGUAAACGUCUGCUAUGGAGAGACAGCGGAUCAACGGCGCUGGGCUAAUAAUGAUCUAAACACAAACAUACAACAAUUACAUGCUGAGAAGGUACGUAUAUACAUAUUACUCUCUAUCUCCCAUGAUAAAUUUUUACAAAAUUUGCUUUCUUAAAUACAAUAUAGAUAAGAUAUUUGUUAUAAAGUAAGUUUAAAUUGAUGAAUAAGAAUUUUACUUUCAGCUGUUGGCGGUGUCGUCGUCAUACUCUACGCAGUACGACUAAUUUCAUAGGCUUCUUAUGACUUGGAGUUGCGAAUUUUUAGAAGAAAGUCUCAACUGGUAAUUAAUUUUUAUUUCAUUUAUUUAAUCCCAUGUCUUGUUUCACAAUUUCAUCUGAAUUAUUUAGAAUGGGUCCCUCGGUUUACUGUUAAAUUUGCAAUGCAAUUUUAAUGAUCCUUUCAGACAUUUAUGGACAGAUUUUGCAAAAUUGAAUGUCUUUUAGUCUAGUUUAAUUUGAGUUUUUCAUUUUUUUUUUAGAGCUCCCCUUGUUUUCUAAAAUUUUAUAAUUCCUUGCAUACUUUUUAUGAUAAAGUUUCAUUAAAAGCCUUCAUAUUUUAUAAUUCCUUGAAAACGUGCAUACUUUUUCCUUUUUUUCUUUGCCAAUUAUUUAUUGUCAUCAUUGCUGUUCUUUUAUUUUAGUUUGUGCUCUAUUUGUUCAUUGGGUUUGCUUUUCGGAAAGUUAGAAGGCAAGGAAAGUACUUAGAAAAUAUUCUUCCCUAUGAACACAUAAUUAACAGCUGAAUAUCAUUCAUUGGAUUAAAAAAAAUUUAAAAUAAAAAGAAAGUAAUCAGCCCAUUAUUCCUAGAACAAAUCCUUAAACCAUCAAACGUUAGCUAUGAACAAGUAUAUUGGUCUAUAGCAUAUUCAUAAUAUUUUCUCUGCUGUUCCUGUUAAAAUUUCUCUACUCUAUGAUUGCAAAAUGUCUGGAUACUGAUGAAGAUUUAAGUCACUCUUCUUCUGUGAAUAAGGUCGUUUUUCUUUUUUCCUCUAUUCAAAGUUUCCAUUCUGAUGGGUUCCCAUUUCCAUCUUCGUGAUCUUCUUGUGAUAGUGUGAGUUACAACCUGUCUGUUUCCUUUGUUUGAUCAUCACAAGUUCAAAGACAUUUUAUUCUAGCUAAGCUCUGUGUAUGUAUUAUAACAUUUUUAUUCUCAAUAUAUAUGACUCAAUGAGAGGUCUUUUAUUAUAUAUAUGUCGUGAAUUUCUAUUGUAUUUUGACAUUUGAUGGUGUAUCAUUGUCUCAUUGCAAGGUCUUUUAAUCACUCUGAUUCUCAUUUGAGGAGGUUGGUCUCGUCUAUGUGUAUGUAUUUAUAUCCACAAGAAAUUUGAUAAAUGGUCUUGUCAUUUUCUCAUCAAAACAUCUGGUGCUUCAUAUGUUGGAGGGUUACCAGGCAUCAGGGCCAGAUUUUUAAACUCAAAGUUCUUCGUGUCAUUUUUUAACAAUAAUAAGGAAAGCCCAAGAGAAAAUCUAGAAGUCCUAAUAAGGACCGCUUCUACAUAUAUUGUUCAUUUUCUUAAUUACCUUCAUUAUUAUUUUCGUUUUCAAUCGAUCAAACUUCAGUUUCUUCAUCUUGAAAUCCUUAAUUUACUCAUCAAAAUGUGAACGCUUAGUGUAUCAUUUUUACACUAUAAGAAAUAGUCGUAUUACCGACCAGACAUUUCCACAAUAUACUAUUCAAAAUAAGUACUUUUUACGAAGGUAUUGUCAUUGACGAGCCGUUGGAUAAAUAUGAAAAGUAUCAUUCCUUGGUGAUAAAGAAAAUUCGUUUGUCGGAAAUGGAAUGUCGAGCCCAAAAUUACUCUAAACUUGGUAAAGUUAGAUUUUGGCCCAAUUUGUUUGAAAGUUUUAUACAUAAAGCACUUUUUUUUUUUUAUGUAAUUUGUGCAAUCUGAAGGGAGGUAUUGUAAAAUUAACAUAAAUAAAUGUAAUAUGCCAAUACCGUUUAAAACAAAAAAGAAAUCAUGAAAUUGAAAAUAUAUAUAUAAUAAUAAUAAUAACAACAUUAAAAGAAAAAAGGGGAUUACGGAGAAGAAGAAUCUCUUCUGGAUCACAACUCUCAAUUUCACUCAGUGGUAAUUAAUUCUUCACUCUCACUCGCCUUAUUUCCUGCGGAUUUCUUCAUUUUCCUUCACUGUUCAUUUUUAAGGUUCCAUUGUAUUUCCAUUGAGUUUGCAACUGUUCAAUUGAUCGAUCCUUAUUAGUUUUGGGACUUCAAUGACCAUAGAAGAAGAUUCUCACAGACAACUCUUCCUUCUUUUGUCUUUGUUUUUUUUUUUAUUUGUUUAUGCAUGUUUCCUUUGCUGAUUUAUUUACUUAUUUCUUUCUCUGAUGUCCCAAUUUAUCCUAUGAUAUUUCAAUUGAUGUAUUACGUUCAUGUUAUGUUUAUGGAUGCUUGCUCUACUGUCCUAAUUUACAAUUAAAUUUUACUCCGUCCUUAGCUAUCGAUUCACAGUGGUGUGUCAUUAAUAUGUACUUGUCUUAUUUUAUAUUUCAUUAACUAUUAUUUCAACAAUUGCUGCAGGUGUCAAAUAAUGAAUUUGUAUGAGCUUCAGUCCAAGGUAAUUAUCUUUUUCAUUUCAUGUUAUUUGAUCUCUAGGUUUAUUUUAUCGUUUCAUCUAAAUUAUUUGGAAUGCAUCAGCUGGUUUAUUCUUAAUUUUGGAACGAAUUUGAUGCAGCAGAUGGUUGCGAAGGAUGAGUGGAGUAUCUCUCUAGGGUAACAACUUGAGCUAUAAGUAUCUAUUUAGGGUGCAUAAUAUACAUUUCGAAGUUCGCGACGAGGGGAAUCUAAUCUAAUACUGUAGCGCCGCAUUAGUCUCGUGGUUCGAUUGAAAAUUAUAUUUAUUUCAUAUUAUUUUACAAGUUUAAGAUCUAUUUUCCUAUUGUUUUCGGGAUUUUUAUCUUUUUUUUUUUUCUAGAUAUAGAAUUUGAGUAACAUUUAUCUUAUUUCAGUUAGGAGAAUGUUAUUAUGUAGUAAUAUGUAGGUUUACUUAUUUUGGUAAAUUUGUGAUAUUUAAGUUUAGUUUAAAAGAAGUCCAAAACCUUAAUUUUGUUAUUCAGACUUUCAUUAAUAAAAUAUAAAACUUUCUAAAAAAGAAAAUGCUCGUCUGGUACCUAUAUUUUAACUUCAAUGCUCGUUUAGUUUUUAUAUUUUAAAAAAUACCUCAAUAUACCUUGAUAUUAAAUACGUUACAUUUUUCCUUAAAUUUUAUUUACUUUUACAAUAAUAUCUUGGCAAUAAUAUUCUUAAAUUAAUUAAUUUAUUUAUAAAAAAGUUAAUUGGAAAAUUAAUCAAGAAAUAUCAAUAUGAAAUAACCAGUAUUUUUUGUACUUUUACAACAAUCUUGCCAAUAAUUCUUUAUAAAUAAAUUAAUAGCAGCCAUCUUAAAGUAAUGUUUAAUAUUCUUAAAGCAAUCUUACUAAUAAAUGCAUAAAAAAUUUAAUUUACGAAAUUAGUCCUAAAACUAAAAUAAUAACAUAAAAGUUUUUAUUAAUAUUUAUUUUGUUUAAGGCUGGCUAGAUGAAUUACCAUUUUUUUCUUUUCAUUGAUAUUCCCAAAAAUAUUAUUCCAACACAGUAGGGGUGUCUUGAGGUUAGGGAUGGCAAUGGGGAGGGGAGGGGAGGGGACUAAUCUCCCCGUACCCAUCCCCGAUAUUUUGCGUAUGUCCUCGUCCCCUCCCCGUCCCCGUCCCCGUCAGAAUUACUUGAGAGAAUCUUCAUCCCCUCCCCGAAUAAUAACAGAGGAUCCCCGAUCCCCGAAUAACUAAUACAUUUUUUUUUUUCAAUUUUGAGUUAAUUAUAUUAAAAUAAAAAAAUUCAAAUAAAAGUAAAUUUCGAAAUAUAUCUUACAUGAAUAUCUAUUUCAAAAGUCACAUACAUUAAAUUAGUAAGUAACGCAGCAUGCAAGGGAUACAAACUAUCAUGAACAAAUUAAUAGUCUAAUACAAAAUUGUUACAAAUAAAAUCGAAUUUAGAUUCAAAAUUAACUUUUUCAAUGGUGGCGUGGGCACUUUAUAAAUGUGGACUAUUCCCUUUACAGCACAAUAGUUAAGUCCGAGCAAAUCAAGAGCAAAUAUUAGAUUAGAUUAGAUAUUAAAAUUGUGAUUCGCUGUGGGCAAUUAUAACAUCUAAAAAUAAAUAAAUAAAUAGAUUUAAGUUUAAAAUAUUUAAUGAAUAUUAAAAUUAAAACAAAAUUUUUGGGCUAAUAGAAUCUACUGGUCUUUUUAAUGUCCUAAAUAAAAAUUUAAGACUUUAAUUUGUUAAUUAGGCCUAAAAGUUUAAUAAUAUAAAUAUUUUGAUAUUUGUUAUUUUUACCAAUAUUUAUAAUUUUAUAAUUUAUUUACUAGUAAUUUUAAAAAAUAAAAAUAAAAUUAAAAAUUAAAAUGGGGAAAUGGGUAGGGUAUGGGGAUUCCACCUCAUCGCCGUCCCCUCCCUAAAUAAGAAAUUGGGUAAAAAAAUUUGCCCGUCCCUUCCCCGAAUAAGAAAUUGGGUAUGAAAUUAUCCUCAUACCCUCCCCGAAUAGGGAAAAUCCCCGAUGGUACCCGUCCCCGUGGGGAUUUUUGCCAUCCCUACUUGAGGUUGAGGCACUUUUUAAAAUAUAAGAACUAAAUGCGCUCUCAAGUCAAAAUAUAGAGACUAAAUGAACAUUUAUUCCUUUUAAAAAGCUUGUGUUUCUCUAUCUUUUCAAUCUCAAUGUUUUUGUUUCCGUUUCAUCAUAAGUUCUAAUGUUUGGUUCUCAUCUUAAUGUGCAAAUUUUACAUCAUUGAAGGUCUUUUGAUCUGAGUUAAGAUCAUAAAAUUAUACUUGCAUUGGUCAGGUUAUACGAAAAUUGUACAAAAUAAUAUUCUUAUAUAACUGUUGUCCUCUGUUAUUACGGAAUCCCCAAGUUCUGAAGAAGGUCGAAAUCAGGUCUCUCUACUGUGAAGCCCCUGGAAUAAGAGCUACAAAUGUGUUACCGUUGAAAGCAUGGCAGAAAACUUAGUACUUAAUUCAGACUCUUUGUGGCUUCAAUAUUUUACUUAACAUGAAAAAUUCUUUCUAGCUUGCAUCAUUGUAAAGAUAAAUUGUCGCAGUUCUGACAAUGAACAAGUAUAAAUGUCCACAGAGAAAAGUACUGAACAAUUAAUGUUAACAGCAAUCGAUUGGUGUGAGCGCCAACCACCAUUUUCAUAUUUAAGCCUUUAGAACAGCAAAACAAAAUACGGCAAGUGGCAACCACAUCAAAUAAUCAAAUUGUUGAUAGAUUUUGAAAGCUUUAAUUUGCUUGAUAUAUAUUUAAAUAUUUCAACAGAUGAUCUUUUCGCUACUCACGGGGCACGCUGAGUUAGAAACGGUUUGGAUGUCAAUAUUACUCCAAGUGCCUCAACCAAAUUCAGAAUGAAAAAAAACCAUCUGGUUACCUGCACUUUUGUUUAAGCAGCUAAUGAAGCUAAUUAGCACGAAAUAGUACACAAACUCGCGAGAAAUUUCAUUAGUAGAUCAUCAUCCUGGGAGGAAACCAGCAUCUUGACGCUUUUGUGAUCAAGAAAAUCUGCCAGAACCCCAAUUAAUGAAAAAGAAAUUAUAACAUCAUUUACGUAUAGUUUUACAAAAUCAACAGGACACUCACAGAGCACCUCCUACAGCUGGACCGGCAGUUUUGGUAAGCGACACUACAGUCAUAGCAAGUCCAUUAGCAGCUCCUCUUUGAUGCUGUUCCUUUUGUUGUGGCAUAAACCAACAAAUUAAAUUUAAACUUUGACACAUACAAAAUUUGAAAAAGCUGAAAGCAUGUAAAUGUACUAAACAAACAAAAGAAAAAAAAUAUUUACCACUGCUCUGUUUUGCAGAAGGAAUAAUCUAGUUAUUAUAGACACCUGAUAUUAUAAUUCAGGAAUAGUAAAAUAGAAUUACAACAUUUCUAAUAAAAAAAGACACAAAAUAAUUUUAUACAUACUUGAUGGAUAAUAUAACCUAAGUAUAUGGAUCAAUGAUUAGGAUAUCCACUUACAGCUAAAACAUUCUUCAUCACAGAAGCACAGUUUAUCAAAAAGGCAAGGCUGAACCCAGAUAGCAUUGCUAUGUAAGUGUAACUUGUCAAAAGCGGUAUCGAUAAAACCUGUACAUACAUAGAAAAUUAUGGGACCAAAACCAUGAAGAAAAGUAUUUUAUAAACAAAUAUGUUUGAAACAAACUAUCAAAUGGUCUAAAUGCCACAUGGUGUGUUCAAAAUUAUUGUUCUGUUUUAGUGACAAAACACUCAUCCCAUGACAUUGAGCUAUCAAUUCUCAUGGAUUCGUCACGCUUGAAAGGUUUGGUAGUUGUUCUGUUUUAUCUUCAGUUUCAUUUGUGAUCACAGAAACGUUAGGACUUGCGUGCAUGAAAGCACAUUAAAAUUUGAAAGUUCUGAAGAAGAUUCAGGUCACUCGCGUGCAGCCUCUGGAAUAAGAGCUGUGUUACUGUUUAAAAGUUUUCAUGCUGUGGGGCUUCCAUCUUCAUUAUUCUACGAAUGCUUAACUUCACUAUUCUACGAAUGCUUCACUUCACUACAUUGACAGCGUUGAAAGUGUAACUAAAACCCUUGCUUUCACAAGCAAGCAUCGGUGAAUGAAAAAGAAAGUCUCUCUCGAAGGUAAUUGACAGAGGAGCAAUCUUCUUACUCUUUAACUAAAUAUCAGAAAUACAAGGUUAAGGCAGCUAGGGUUGCGAAGGAGAAGGAUCGUUCCCGGAUUUUGCCUGCUUCAAGUUGUUGGGCUUGGUGAACCAAGUUGUGUACACGAAUUGCUUAUGAGGGCCCACAUGGUUGCAGACAAGCCUGAGCUUUUGUCUCUCCCUCAUGUCUCACAUUUUAUGAUGAAUCAAAUUGAACUCCCAACACGGUAGUUCAUAAAAUAUGCUUUUCUUCUUCCAAGUAAUCUUAUCAUUUCUCUCAUUUUAUUCAUUCUCCACUUUUCAAGUCUUCAAUCUUAAACUCAGUAAGGAUAUUAUUCAACUGCUUUUUCACUUCAGCUCCAGACAUCCGAGAAGGUGCUUGUCCCCACUCUCUAGAUUUAUCAAAAGGCACUAUAUUUUCGAAACCUAUGAUUCGUCAGUAAAAAUCGACGUUACCGACGUGACAAAAUUUUCUACUAUGUAUCAACCAAUUAGAUCUAGUGUUUUGUUGGCAAACAAGAAAUGCUUAUUUACCUUUAAUACUCCACUCAGACAAGUUGGCAUGUGCUAGAAAGUCACUGAUAGUCCAUAACAAUGCUGUGUGUGAAUUGAAUAUUUGAUUACGUGAUGUAUCAUGUAUCAUUCCAACCAUAUCAUCAUCAGCACCCGAGUCAUGACUAACCUGUUUCUUGGUUAGAUUCCAAAGAUGAAGAUGGCUCACCAUGCAAUAUCCAGUUUUAAUACUUUAACCAAAAACCAUUUAUAAUGAUAUGGUCUCUUGCUACUUCCCUUAAAACGAAAUAUUCGACACUUCUUACAAGGAUAAUAAAUUCUUGCAUCACCAACAACAUUCUCAAAUGCAAAAUCUAUAACUUAGAUAUCUAUUUGCCAAACCAACCCAACUCUUCUCCAUUACCAUCUCCUUUUAAUGCACUACAAAAAUUAGUUAGAUAAAUCAUUUUAGUUUUUCAUUUCUACUACUGACCAAGAUAUUUUCGUGUGUGCACAGUUUUGCAAUAUAAUUAAAAAAUCAUUAUACAAUUUUAUGGUUAAUUUCAUUAGAAUUUAUAUAUAUGAAAGCAAGUAAAGCGACAAGAAUCAGAGAAAAAGACGUGAAAAUUAAAGUAUAUAUACAACAAUAAUUAAUGUAAAAAACAGUUUCCAAUACCUUCUGUAAAGAAAUAUCCUCACCCACAGCUGAGAACUUCAGUUGGUUAUCAAUUACAGAUACAAAGCAUGUUACCUAGAAACAAAAAAAAAGGUCAGCCAGCUGAAACAUAUUUAUAAACCAACAUUGGAGAUAGUACUCCAUUUAUAAACAAAAUUACAAGCUCAAAACCAAGUUAACUCAGCAAAACUAUAACCGAUUACGUCCAUCCAACUCAGCUCCUCCACUCCCAUCAAUAUGUCCAACACUCCCUUCAUAUUUACAAAAGGUAAGUGGUCCCGUAUAUCCCUCUCAAGAAUGCAUAAGUUUCUUCAAUCUCAAGUACUUUAAAGUUUUCUUCUACGUUUAUAGAAAUUUCGGCAGCAUCUCCCUUUAGUUCUCCAAGCAACGACAUAGAUAUAUGAGUGUUUAUGUGUUAUCUAGUAUGCACCCAAAGAAGAUGAGAAGCAGCUUGCGAAAAACUCAUUUUUACGUGGGAAAAAAACUUCAGCUACUAGCUACCAUAGAAAACUAUGCAUUCCCAAACAGUUCAAGCCUAGACAAUUCAAGAAUUAUUAAUAGGCAUAUGAUCCUCACUAUCAUCCAAAGAUGACACUAAUAAAACAUGUGUCUAUUAAUAAUUUCUUAAACGAUCUAAGCUUUCAAUGCAUGUAUUGAAAGUUUAAAAUUCAAUCUGAAAUUUGAAUAACACAUAAAUAUCAUAAAUCUCUUCAAUUUGUUCCUAAUACAAUGUAGCAUUAUUACGCGCAUCAUUUCUUAAGCAAAUCCAUAAAAAAUACAAACAAUAAAUACAUUUUCUAGCACUGAUGCAGAUUAUGUUUACUAAGCAAUAAGUUUUAAGUCAUUCAUGUUAAAAUACUUUUUCCUAUUCUUUCAACAUAUAACUAGUACGUGCACACAAUUAAUAAAUUAAAUAUAACCUGGUUGUGAAUCUCGCAAAAAUCUUCCUAUUUUUUUUUUUUUGGUUGGGGGGGGGGGGGGGGGGUGUGAGCUGCUUGUGAAUCUUGCAAAUCCUCGGGAAGGCAUGUUAAGUCAAGGCCAACUUACUAUUAGGGUAUGAAAGAUAUAACCUUUUUUUUCCCUUUUCAGAGUAAAAAGAACAUUGACAGUGUUAAAAAAAUCUAGAGGAUUUCAGGCCCAUAUCCUAACAAAUCAAGGAUAUUAGAAAAAUUUACUGAGGAUAUAGUUUAUGCUCAAUUGUAUCUUGCAGGAAGAAAUUGAUAAGCCUCAGUUUCAAUUAGCUUCAUUAUAGCCAAUGAUUAGGUGUUUAAAAACCAAUGAAUAUUUUUAUAAGAAAUCAACCGUAUUGUCGGAAGAAAAACCAAAUAAAAAUAACAAAGCCAAUGAACAGACUAAUGCUCUUUAUGGUCUAAUAACUAAAAACCAAUGAGUAUUUUUAUAAGAAAUCAACAGUAUUGUUGGAAGAAAAACCAAAUAAAAAUAACAAAGCCAAUGAACAGAUUAACGCUCUUUAUGGUCUAAUAACUAAUCAAACUAAGUUGUGGGUAAAGGCGAAUAUGUUUGUUUGGUCAAUAAUAAGCUCAACGAAUCACUAAUAAGCACCUAAUCACUAUUCCUUAUGCUAUGCAAUGUAAUGGCCUGGGUAAUGGCAGCAAGGCAGGCAAGAACUAGCUAGCCAGUUAUGAUAGUUGAUUAAGAAACUUGAUUAUAUGUAUAUUUUUGUUUGCCACAUUUAAAGAGAAUUUUCCAAAGAUGCUAAGAUACACCAAAUCCCACUAUUUCCAUACUCAUAAAAACAAAAAGCCAUGGCAAAAAUGAAUGACUAUAUAAAAUAAAAUAGGUCAUAGGACAUUGAGAUUAAGGCAACAUGAUUUGUAUACCAUAAAAUAACUAUAUCUGCAUAGUCAAUUAUAUUUCUGUUAGAACUCUAAAGUUUUCAUUUAAAUUUUUUUCCCUGUUAUGUAAACCAUUUAACUGAAAUGCUUAAGCCAAUAUUAACAAUCAUAGACAUACAAGUAUUAAUAGGCUCGUUCAAGUGAAAUGAGCAUUAUUUCUCAUAUCCUUUAGGUUUUUAAGUCAUUUAGAAGUCAUUCAUGUUAAAAAAUUUCUUCAUAUACUUUCAUUAUAAUUAGUACAUAGACAAUUAUUUAAAUAAAUAAAUCUGUUUCUGCUAGUACAGGAAAUUAAUUAAUCAAAGCUAGUAGUUAUAGCUAGGACUUGAAUGAGGCACCUUUCAGAGUUCAAGAGGAGCAUCUGAACAGAACCUUUAUAGAAAUGGCAAUGACGCUUUACAUCUACAUGCUCUUACACAAUAUGGACUUUCAUUUAUUCAAGAACAUAACACUACUCCAAGCUCUUAUUCUACAAGUUAAUUCAGUUUAUAUUAUAAUUUCUGAAAAUAGAACGUAACAUUAUUAAUAUAGAAUCAGCAAUAUAUAUAACUUAUCAGACAAUAUAACAUGCACUUGGUGAGCAUACAAGAUAAACAAGUUAUCUAGAAAAUGAAACUAAAACCCAAGCUCCGCUAUUCAUUGUAGAAGCUUUAAACAUAAAAUUAAAGUAAAUCUAAUAGCAAAACAUUAGAAUGGAUGUUGGAAUUAAAGCUAAAUUCAAUAGUAAUUCAAAUGAAUCCAUUUGAACUUUGUAGAACAAAAUUAAUUUGAGUGAGCAAACACACCAAUGGAACAAGAACACAGGGCUUCAACUUGUAGGAAUAAAAACAAUUGCUGGCGAGACAAAAAUUGACAAUAACGACUACAAUACGAAUUAAAAAGAAUCAAAAUCUAUAAUUACAAGCUAAGUAAGAGAAGAAACUCAUAAUCACAAGCUUAACUCAAAAGAUGAAGGGAGAAUACGAUGAAGAAGAAGAUGCCCGGUGUUUUACGCCGUUCGCCGGCAACCAGUUAGGUUUACGAUGGAGUCCAGCGAAUAGUUUUCUAACUGGAAAUAAAUUUAAAAUUCUAAAAUAGUAGUAUACCGAACGGCUCUUUACCGUCACGUGGUUAGUAACAUAUGUGACAGCAGUGUGGCUGUCACAUAAAGGGUAACAAAAGCAACUCGGGGUUACAAAGAAGUUAGUGAUAUACGUAAUGGCUGCUUUUGCAUUCGCAUUAGGGGUCACAUAUACCAUAUUUUCUUGUAGUACAUGGUAAAUUCUAUUUGAAAAUUGCUAAGUAUUUUAGAUUUGUAUGAAUUCAUUUUUGUGUGCUCGUUGGAUAAUAAUAUAUAAUAAAUCAAAUUUUUGGUGUAAUUUUCACAAUAUUGUAUUAUAAAUAUGUCUCGUUGAAAGGUUUUGAAAUCGUUUUGAUUGAUCAUAAUUGAUAUUUCCACAUUUGCAAAAGAUGCCAGAGAAAAUCUGAUUAUCUUAAGAAAUGAGUGCAUGAGAUAUGAAAUCAACCAUAUAAUAAAAUCAAAUUUUAUUGUGUCAUCCUUCUUGGUUCAAAUUUAUGGAAACAAUAAUCAAAUGCAUCCAUGAACUAGCUAGUAUAUUCCGACACAUGUACCAUCAAAUUUUUGCUAUGUCAUACUUAUAUUUUGAAAUUUUAAUAACAACAAUUGGGCCAAGCAUAUGUUGGUACUUGAAGAUUUAUAAGCUCCAUCCUUGAAAAAAUAAGGCUUGACUGUCCUCAAUCUAAUUCUUUUUGUUUUAAGUUCCUAAUUAAGCUUUCUUGCUUGUUUUCAAGAGCCAGUUUUGUAAUGAUCGACAAACAUGAUUUGCAUAUAUUGCACUUGGUAUUUAUGUGUCACUUAUUAAUUAGAUUUAAAUUUUAUAAAUUAAUUAAGCUGAUUAAUACUUUAUGUUGAUGCAGAAAUCUAGUUGAGUUGGUUGUUGACUCAAAACCACAUCCCCGCAUCAGUAAUAAAUUUGUUUGGUGAAGAAGCGGCUUAUUAAUCUUCAAGAAAAUCCUCUAACCAUGAGCAGAUAAUUCAUGAGCCGAUAAUCUAUGAGCUGUUGAUUAGUGAGCACCAUGAGCAGAUAAUCCACGAGCUGCUGAUCAGUGAGCACCGUGAGCAGAUGUUCUAUGAGCAGAUGAUCCAUGAGCAGAUAACCCGCGAGCAUGCAAGCACAAAGAACAGUCAGGGGGCGCUAGAAGUUUUUCUGGUGAAAACCCUCCGACGCUCAAGUCACAAUAUUGUAUCCAACCAAUAAAAACUAAAAGAUCCAAAAGUUACAAGUUCUAACACCACCCAAAUAAAGGCAUGUUAGGAUUGUUUUUGGGAAGCUCAAAAGUGAUUUUAAAAACUAAAAGCUAAUUUUUAAUGUUUUAUAAAUUUAAAAACUAAAAGUUCUAACACCACCCAAAUAAAGGCAUGUUAGGAUUGUUUUUGGGAAUCUCAAAAGUGAUUUUAAAUAUUAAUGGUGCGUUUACUUCUUGGAAUAGGAAUGAGGUGGAAUGGGAAUGGACUGGAAAGGAAAUGAGGAAUGGGAAUGAGAUUUCAAUGUUUACUUGGCAAAAAUAAAUGGGAAUGGGAAUGUGCUGGAAUGCAAUUGAUGUGUUUACUUGGAAAAAUAAAUGAGAAUGAGAAUCAAUUUACCAUAAUACCCAUAGUAUUAAUAAUUAAUAAAAAUAAUUAAUUUAUCAUUAUUGUUGUUAUUAUUACUAUUAUUACUAUUAAAAAUAAUAUUAACAAUAAUUAAUAAUAACUAAAAUAAUAAAGUUAAUAAAAUAUUAUUAAAUUUUAUUAACUCUAUUAUUUUAGUUAUUAUUAAUUAUUGUUAAUAUUAUUUUUAUUAAUAUUAUCAUUAUUAACAUUUAUUAUUAUUAUUAAUAUUAUUAUUAUAUUUUAUUAACUUUAUUAUUUUAGUUAUUAUUAAUUACUGUUAAUAUUAUUUUCAUUAAUAUUAUCAUUAUUAACAUUUAUUAUUAUUAUUAUUAUUAUUAAAUUUUAUUAAAUUUAUUACUUUAGUUACUAUUAAUUAUUGCUAUUUUUAUUUUUAUUAAUAUUAUCAUUAUUAAAUUUUAUUAUUAUUAUUUUAAUUAAUAUCAUUUUAAUAAUAAUAUUUAUACAUGUAUCUAGAUAAUGAAAAUUACAUUAUUAUUAUUAUUAUUAUUAUUAUUAUUAAAUUUUAUUAACUUUAUUAUUUUAGUUAUUAUUACUUAUUGUUAUUAUUAUUAUUAAUAAUAAUAAUAAUAAUAACAAAAAUAAUGAUAAUAUUGUUAAUAAUGAUAAAUUAAUUAUUUUUUAUUAAUUAUUAUUUUUAUCAUUAUUUUUAUUGUUAAUAAUAAUAAUAUUAAUAAAAAUAAUUAAUAAUAACUAAAAUAAUAAAGUUAAUAAAAUUUAAUAAUAAUAAUAUUAUUAUUAUUAUUAAUGAAAUUUUAAAUAAUAAAAUUAAUUGUGAUUUGAAUGAGGGUAAUUUGGGAAAUAUGAAAAAAUUAGAGGGAUACAAAAGUAAAUAUAUAUUUCAUUCUCAUUCCCUCAUUUUUAUUCCCAACCCCUCAUGGGCUUGGGAUUCCCAUUCUUUAUUCCCAAAUUGUGUGAGACCCACACAUUUUAUUCUCAUUCCCAAAUUAUAUUUUGCCAAGUAAACAUGGGUUUCAUUCUCAUUCUUUCAUUCACAUUCCUCAUUCCAUGAAGUAAACAUACCAUAAAAGCUAAGUUUUAGUGUUUUAUAAAUUUUUUUAGUAAUUACUUUUGGUAAAAUCAUCUCAUCAUACAGUAGAUUUUGAAAAGUAGUGAAUGAAUAGUUUUUCAAAAUUUGAUUUUGAGAAUUACUUUUAUACUUAAUCCAAUUCUAUAUAUAUCCUCAUUAUAUAAUAAAAAUCCAAAAUUAUCUUUAUGAAUUAAGAAAUAAAAUCAUUAACUUAAAAUAGAUUAUUAUUAUUAUUACCAAUUAUAUUGAGAUAACAAAAUAGAGAAUACAAUUUAAUAAUAUAAAAUAUUUAUUUUAGUUAUCAAUAAUUAUAUGUACAUAAUAAAAAUAUUUUAUAUACAUGUUUGUAAAUGUGUAAAUAAAUUUUAUUUAGCAUUAUGUUCAAUUCAGUCAUUUAUAUUUUUUCACCAGUUUAAUAAUAAAAUUUACGAAACACAUACGUCUGCUUUUAAAACUAAAAGUACUUUUAAAAAUAAAUUUUACUAAAUGUUCAGCUGAUUCUCUUCACAAUUGAUCAAUUUCUACAGCAUAACUAACUGAAAUUAUUUUAAAAAUAAAAUUACCAAACUGACCCUAAAUCAAACCAAUAAAAAUGUUUAAAAGUAAUAAAAAUAAACCAAAGUAAAUGUACAAAAAUUCAUGCAUAAAUUGAUAAUCAACAAAAACAACCAAAAGUUUAACUCCAAGUUUUCUGUUCAAUUGACAUAACCCUUAAAUUUCAAAAGGCAUAAUCAAUUUUGUGUCUAAUCCUAUAAAAUUAGAAAAUUAAUGAAUUCAAGGGCAAAGCUACAUUGCAACAUGCCUUUGGUACCCCUCUCUUUUGUCUUUUUAAAGGUCAAUUAUAAUAGUGUCCUGGUAUUUGUUAUAAAAAUGAAAAUGUUGAAAAUUUUUAAAAUUUUACGCAUUAGUCCUACACCUACACAGUAUCAUUUUUCUCAUCCAUUUUGCACCAUCAAUGACAUCAUUUUUCUCACCCAUUUUAAUUAAAAGGUAAUUAAAAUUAUUUUCCAUAUAGAAACAGAAUAAUAAAAUAAAUUUUUUAUUCUUAUUUUUUAAUUAAUUAUAAAAAGAUAUUUUGUAUUAAAACAAUCACUAGUGACUACUGUUUCUUCGCGUGCAAUGAUAUUUUUAAUCGAAAGGGGACAUGAAGGGUUCCAUUAUAUUUGAAAUUGGAUGAUUUACAUAAAGAUAGUCUCAAUGCUAGCAAAUGGUGAUAUGUAAAGUUGCAUGCUCCUUCUAAAAUAACUGCAACAAUAACUAUACCACAAAAACACAAGGAGUUACAUUACACUACCACCUUUUCUUUUCUUUUCUUUUCUUUUUUUUUUUAAAUUUAGAGACCCUCAAUUUGGUUGUUAAAGGCAAUGAACCUUAAAACGUGAUGUAGGAAGCAUAUUAGAUAAAAUGAAUUAGAAUUUACUAGAAAUUAUAAUAUUUGGGUCAAUUUAAAAUUUAAUAUUUUAUUAAAAUUUAUCUUAUUUAUUAAGCUUACUUGAGUCAUAUUUGUAAUUCUAACCUAAUUAGGAUUUCAGAUUAUUUCUCUUAUUUGAGAAAGAUUAGCUACUAUUAUAUAUAUAAACUUGUUAUUCUUAAUUUAUGAUAACAGACACAAACUUCUUAUUAAUAAUUUUUAAUUUUUUCAUAAUUGAGAUAUCUUCUCCUUGGUGAGAGCAUCUUUUUAAAGUUUUCAAGACAUAAAUCAUAUUAGAGUUUUUUUCUGUACCAGGCAGAGCAUUCUCGACCACCAACUCCAUACAUUAGUUCCAUCAAGUUAAAAAAAAAAAACCCAACAAAACCCGAAGCCACCAUCACAUCCGUGCCACACGGCUGCCGCCGCCACUGGUUUCUCUUCUUUUUGGUCGAUCCUCUCUCCCAUCCAAAAGCCCUCACGUCGCCAAUCAUAACCCAACCCAUAACACCACCAUCCCGUCACCGUAGCCACGGGAAACUAGCCAAAACAGCCGCUGAACCACCACGAAAAUCCACCUCUCUAUUCGCUGCAAUCCGUUGCGAUUCACAUCCUCCACCACCACCCAUUCGUCCACGAUCAUCAGCUCUUUCUUUUCAACCCACUCACGCUGCCAACCCUCGGCCGGAUCGCCAGAAACUGAAACCAACCUCCACCCACUACUUUAACUCAACUUUUCAAUCAAAUCACAACUAUUUGAGACAAAUCACCACCAGCAUCACACUCAACACCAUCAAAUCUUCUAGAUCCACCUAUCCUAGGCCAAAUUUUCGACCAUCGUCGCUGGCAACACCAACUUUUGCCUAUUUAUAAUUUUGCCCCUUUACUUUUCUAUACUUAUACUAUUACCUAUAAUUUUAUGUUCUUUAAAAAACACCCAAAAACCAAACAAACUUAUAAAAAAAUAAAUAAAUUAGAAUUUACUAGGAAUUAUAAUAUUUGGGUCAAUUUAAAAUUUUGUAUUUUAUUAGGAUUUAUCUUAUUUUAUUAAGCUUACUUGAGUCAUAUUUGUAAUUCUAAUCUAAUUAGGAUUUUAGAUUAUUUCUCUUAUUUGAGAAAGAUAAGGAUUAAUUUAGCUACUAUUAUAUAUAUAGGCUUUUUAUUCUUAAUUUAUGAUAACAGACACAAGCUUCUCAUUAAUAAUAUUCAGUUUUUUCUCAAUUAAAAUAUCUCCUCUUUGAUGAGAGUCUCUUUCUUGAGUUUUCAAGACGUAUAAUAGAACGAAAUCUAGUAUCGCUUCCGCCCUGCGUUAAAAUGUCAUCUAAUCAUAGGGUCUUGUUAUAGUUGUUUGCAUUGGAAGGCUCAUCUAUCGCCGACAUAUCUAUUUAUCCGGCAACAUUGCCACCAUUACAUUGAUCAGAGAAUUUUGAAUACGUUGAUAGUUUUUUGUUUUUCUGUUCACUCACGUCUAUUUCUUAGUGAUGAUACCGUCAUUGUUGUCAUUGGUGGUGCAAUAAUUUUUAGCAAUAUUAUUUUGAUUUUUCAUUUGAUUUACAAAACUUAAAUAUUAAAUAUAAUACUUAAUUUUAGUCUCAUACACUUAAAUAUUACUAAUAUUCAAGUUCAUGGAUGGAUAUUGAAUAAAUCAAAUUCAGAGUAUUUUAUAUGGAUACUAUCCAAUCUAUUCAGAUCAGAUACUUAGACAUCCAACUUGAAUGGAUUUGUUUGCUCUUUCUAGCUGUUAACUUGAUUAAUAAUUCUAUUGGGUUUGGUUUUAAAACUCCUAAUAUGAUAAUUCAUUCAUGACACAAUUAAUUAUUCACUUAAUUAUAUUAAUUGACUUCUAUUUUAAUUGAUAGAUAUGUGUUGAAUUGUCAUCUCUAUUGUUAUCCAUGUGUGAUGUUAGCAAGAAAGAAGAAAGAAUAGAAAAUACUUAUUUUUAGUUUUUUUUAAAGAAAUAUUUAAAUUAUUUUCAAAUAGAGUAAUUGUUUAGAAUUUUUUUACCCUUCUCUCCGAUAAGUUAAUGACUAUUUAAAUAGUUGGGGUGGAGUAACAAAUACCAAUUUAUUUAAGCGUGCAAUUAAAUUAUUAUUAUUUAUUUAAGGACAAAAACUCAUUGUUAAAAAAAAGAUUUUACAAGUUAAUAAACUAACAUUUUAUUAUUAUUAGUAAAUUAACAUAUUUUUACUAUAUAAUUAAAUAGUUGAUAGUAUGUUUAAUAAAUAUUAUGUUACAAAAAAAAUUAACUACAUAGAAUAUGAAAUUAAGUUUAUUUUUGUAUUUUGUAUAUUUCAUCUACUUGAGAUAAUAAAAUCUCUUGUGUUGAAAAACAAAAUUAUGGGUUUUGAACCUUGUUCACAUAGGUGAGAGAUAAUUGGUUGCCAUUAUGUUAAAUUAAAAAAAAAAGAUCAUAUUUAUACUUAUCACUAAUUAUGGUUAGUAAAUAAUAUACAUGCAUUGUUUAACUAUAUAACAAAGUAGUUAAUUAAUUAAUUAAUUAAUUAAUUAAUUAAUUUAAAUAGAUAUUAAUAUAUGUAAGAAUAAGUCAUUUAAUUGGAAACCUAUUUCAAUGGAGUUAAAAAAAAAAGAGAGAAUAUUAUGGACUUAUAUGUCAAAUUUCAAAACUUUUGAUUUUGUUUAUUUUGCAUGAACAAUAAGGGUCUUUGAUGUUAAUAACCCAAUAAUCACAUCUCAGCCAUUACGCAAUUCUUACAUUAAAUCCAACGGUAGGUUUGAAAAAGACAAAAAAUAGGGUACCAAACCCCACGGGUAUUGUAGUUGGACCCUGAAAUUCAAACUCCUUUCACUUUUCUGUUGUUUGGUUUUCACUAAUAUAUGGGAAUUUAAUUUCUAUUUAAAUUUAAUUUUCAUCAAAUUGUGCAUUUUGGAUUCCCCACCGAAGGCUGUAAAAUUCAAAUUCUCCUCCUAUUAGAAAUCGAAUCUUCCAAAAUUGCUCCUCUCAAAUAUUUAUCAAUUAUUUUAAUUCUUAUCAAAUAAUUCUUAUUUAUGAUUUUAUUUUUUCAAUUUAAAUUGUCACUAAGGAGCCUGACUUACUACCACAGAAAAGCAAAAAUACAAUUUAUAGAUUAUGAUAAUUCCAUGUAUUGUAUGAGAAUUGCAAUCUAAAAAUUUUCCCUACAAAACUUUAAAGAAAUUAUUAUUAUUACCAAUUAUAUGGACAUAACAAAAUAGAGAAUAAAAUUUAAUAAUAUAAAAUAUUUAUUUUAGUUAUCAAUAAUUAUAUGUACGUAAUAAAAAUAUUUUAUAUACGUGUUUGUAAAUGUCUAAAUAAAUUUUAUUUAGCAUUAUGUCCGAUUCAGUCAUUUACAUUCUUGCACUGAUUUAACAAUAAGAUUUAUGAAACACAUACGACUGCUUUUAAAACUAAAUGUACUUUUUAAAAUAAAAUUUACUAAAUGUUCGGUUGAUUCUUUUCACAAUUUAUCAAUUUCUACAGCAUAGCUAACUGUAAUUAAUUUUAAAGAUAUAGGAUUACCAAACUAACCCUAAAUCAAACCAAUAAAAAUGUUUAAAAGUAAUAAUAAGAAACCAAAAUAAACGUACAAAAAUUCAUGCAUAAAUUGAUAAUCAACAAAAGCAUCCAAAAGUUUUACUCCAAGUUUUCUAUUCAAUUGACAUAACACUUAAAUUUCAAAAGGCAUAAUCAAUUUUGUGUCUAAUCCUAUAAAAUUAGAAAAUUAAAUAAUAUUAUAUACUAAUAAUUAAAUAAUAUGCAAUUAAUAAUGUUUAAAAAAUAAUGUUAAACAUAUUGUCAACUAAAAUAAUUGGGAGAAUUGGAGUUCCAAGAUAAAUUCUUAUCGAGUCCCAAAUCAACAAUUGGGAUUAAUUUCAAUCUUAAACUCCGAAACUCCGACUGCUUUUAAAAUUGGUCCUAAUAAUAUGAACAAAUCCCAUUCUGAUCAGUAUGGGAUCCCAAUCCCAUACCUUUGGAUUUCGAUGGUAUUUAGUUGGAGGGAGAAGAGAGGAAGGAAAUGAAUUCAAAUUCCUUUCACUUUUCUGUUGUUUGGUUUUCACUAAUAAAUGGGAAUUCAAUUUCUAUUGAAAUUUAAUUUUCAUCAAAUUGUGCAUUUUGGAUUCGUCACCGAAGGCUGUAAAAUUCAAAUUCCCCUCCGAUUAGAAAUCGAAUCUUCCAAAAUUGCUCCUCUCAAAUAUUUAUCAAUUAUUUUAAUUCUUGUCAAAUAAUUCUUAUUUAUGAUUUUAUUUUUUCAAUUUAAAUCGUCACUAAGGAGUCUAACUUACUACCACAGAAAAUCAAAAAUACAAUUUAUAGAUUAUGAUAAUUUUACGUAUUGUAUGAGAAUUGCAAUCCAAAAAUUUUCCCUACAAAACGCUUUUUAAUCGACAGCAAAUACAUGCUUUCAAAUUUAGUCAGCUGAACUAAUUUUUGUUUUUUUGGAUUAAUUUUGAAAUGUUGCAUCCAUAACGAGCUGGUAUUGAAAUUAAUGUUAACAACAAAAAUAGAUGCAAAAGGAGAAAUAAGCAUCAUGGCCAUUAAUAUUUUGACAUUCAAUGUUGAUUUUGAUCCCACUAAAUUAAGCCAUCAAAAAUUGCUGGGAAGGGAGUAAUAUCUAUUUAUAACUGGAAAUUACUCACCGUACAAUGAUGAUUGGAGCUGCAUGUAUCAUUUAUUAUUAACAAUUAACUUAUGAAAUGCUUUGAAUGUACCUCCUAGGUCGUAUUUACUACACUAGUUAGGAGAAAUUACGAUGUUAAAUUAUUUGAUAAAUACUUAUUAUAAUUUGAAAAAUAUGUCACAUUUGUCCUCCACUUUAUGAUAAAAAAUUUAAAAUAUAUAUAAAUCAUUCAUUUUAUAAUCUUGAACUUUAUUAAAGUUCGAAAAACUAGUAUUACUCUAUAUGAUAUAAUAGUGUGAUGUUGUUACACUAUUUUACCAUAUAAAAUAUAUUUGCUUUCUUAUAUAUAAUGGUUCUGACAUCCUUAUUUUAACAAAGUGAUGAUAUCACUAACAAACUAAAUAACACAUAUUUCAAUACACCAAUAGAUUAAAAAGAUACAGUUCUUAAUGUGUUAAAAUAUAUGUUUCUUGUAUAUUAUUGAUAUUUUCACUUUAACAAAGCGAGGGUCUCCUCACUAUAGAAGUACUUUAUAAAUAUUCUUUGUAUUUUUGUGAAAAUUAUUAUUUAAAAGUCAUAUCUUACCAAAGACUAAUAGUUUUUAUUUUAUCACUAUACCGUACUUUUGAAGAUAGAACACCUCAAUACCAUGACCUUAAUUUUUGAACUCUGCUGUACAAAGUUGUUGGCUGGUCUAUUUAGUUUAGUCUUUCAAUUAUUUGUCGUUUGAACUGAGAUGAUCCGAAUAAAGCUAUAUAUCAAUAAUUUCCUAGUGAAACUUCGGGAAAAAAAAUAAAAAUCCUCUCAUAUAGUGGCAUUAUUUUAAUUCUCAGCUUGAUUAUGUUUUGAGUUAACUUAUAGAUUAUUUGAAAUAAAAAGAAUAUAAUUUAUUUUUCUAACUAAAUAUUUUUAAAUAAUUUUGUUAAUUUAAUGAGUAAUUAUACACUUACAAAGUUAUGAUAUAAAAUUUAAUCUAAUUUAGCUAAGAUGUCCAAUUUAAUACUAAGAGCAAUGUUAAGGAUCCCAAUAAUUGAGUCUCAGCUGAUAUGAUAGUCAUUUAUUAGAUAAUCGAAAUAUUAAUUUUAUUAGUUAUGAAAUUUAUUAUCUAAUAAAAAAAUAACACAUAACAAUUGGGUCUCAAGUUAGAAUUCUACUAUCGAAAUUCCUAACAUUAUUCUCAAAUUAAAAAUUCAUCAAAAUAAUAUCUAUUAUCUAAAAAUAUAAAUAUAAAUAUAAAACCAUAGAUUUACUCUUCAAUCUUCGUGAUUUGGCCGAUUUCUCUUAAAGCUUUGGUUUCUUUAUAAGUGCAACGAGAAAUAGUAAGAAGAUUAAAAAAGCAAUAAAGUAAAACUUUAAAAUUUUUAUUUCUUUAUAUUUUUAUCGGUCAUUUGACCGGUACUGGCGUUUGAUUUUCUGACCGAGCUACUGUUUAGUUCUAAGUUUUGGCAAUUAGAACUGGUGGAUGUCGACUGUUCAAUAAUGAUGGCAGCAUUGACGCAGUGGAAUAAGGAUCACAUAUCUCAAACUUUAGGUGAUGAUAUUGUUAGAUAUUUCAUUGAUUGAGGAUCACAUGUUUUAUGACCACUAUUGUUAGAUAUUUUAUUGACUUACUAUGUAAGUCAAGCAAUUAUUUUUAAAUAAUGAUAUUAUAAUUAAAAAUCAAGAAAUAUUUAUAAUACUUAAAGACUAAUUCAGAUUAUUAUUAUUUUAUAUGACUUAAUUAUUAGCUGACAAAUAAUUAAAAGGUCAUAGAACAAUAUUUUUAGGUCAAAUUUGUAUUCUAAUAUGACACAACUUGUACUUUCAUUCCUAUGCUAAAAUAUAUCUAACCUACUAAUAGUCAAGAAAUAUAUCUAUUCAUCACAUACUUGUUAGAAAGAUUAUCUACUAAUUAAUCAUUGAGACGAGAUUACGAGUCUCAACAUAAAUUAGGAUAAAAAUUAAUACAUUGAAAUUCAGAACAUUUCUUUUUCCUCCUUCUGCAGUUUAAAAAGGAGUCGCCCACGAGUACUGAAAUAAUUUUAUCAGAUUCGCUUGAAAGUAGUUUUACGAGCAAGCAGUUUUUCCCUCUUGAUCCCCGUAUUCGUCAGCUCCUACUCUUUGCCUUCAAUUCUCAGUCAAGUAGUAUCAGUUUUUGUUGUCAGCUCUCUUGAAUUUCACUGGAUCAAGUUUUCUCUUGGCAUCUGUUUUGUUGUAAUCUCCAGUCUUUGUUAAUUAGUUUCUCUCCAUUCCCAAUCUUGUUGUGGCCUGCUGUUGUCUCUGUUUGGUUCCAUAUCUACCCUUUGUACUUCUACCGUGUCAAGAUACCUUCAUUUUUUCCAUCUCUAUUACCAGUCAAUAUUUUUUCCGUCUUUCUUCUGGUCAAUUCUUCAGUUAUUCUGAUUGGUUCCCUUCGCCUCUAUUAUCUAAAUCAUUCCUUAUAUUAAUUCAAUCAGUUCUCGAACUAGAAAUUUUUUCCUUGUUUCCAUCUUCUCACCAGAUCCAUAACAGCUUUUACUCUUUCUUUCAUUUCUCCGCUUCCAAAACCGGAUAAACUGUCCAUCUUCGUUGUUUCGUUUUUUUUUUUUUUCACUCCCUCUUUGUUUCGCUCGUUUUCUAUUUUCUUGUCAGAACUUUGAAAAAAAAAAAAAAAGGGAUCCAGGAUGGUGGAAAGCAUUGUUACUGUUGUUUUAGAAUUUUUGAAAUGCUUGGCUCCUCCAACAGAACGCCGAUUUGGUUAUUUGCGUAACUAUAAAGCCAACGUUGAGAAUCUCAAGGCAGAAAUAGACAAGCUCAAGGAUGAAAGGAGAAGCAUUCAGCACAGGAUUUCUGAGGCUGAAAGAAAAGGGGAAAAGAUUGAAGAGAAGGUUGAGAAGUGGCUGGUUCGUGCGAACAACACCAUUGAGCAGUCAGCCAAAUUCAUUGACGAUGAGGAGACAACAAAUAAACGAUGUCUCAUGGGCUUGUGUCCUAAUUUGAAGACCCGCUAUCAGCUUAGCAAGGAAGGAGAAACAAAGGUGAAGGCCAUUGUUGAACUCAAAGAAGAAGCUGGGAAAUUUGAUGAUAGAAUUUCCUACCGUACCAUUCCGGAGGAUAUAUGGCUCAAGUCUCACAAAGGCUACGAGGCCUUCGAAUCAAGACUUUCUACUUUGAAGGCCAUACAAAAUGCAUUGAUCGAUGUUGAUGUCAGCAUCAUUGGGGUCUACGGCAUGGGCGGCAUUGGAAAGACGACACUGGUGAAGGAGUUUGCAAGGCGAGCCAUUGAAGACAAGCUUUACGAUAUGGUGGCUUUUUCGGAGGUUACCCAAAGUCCAGACAUAAAAAAGAUCCAAGAGGAAAUUGCGGAAACGUUAGGCCUACAGUUGUCCGAGGAAGCUGAGUCUAGAAGAGCUGGUAGACUAUAUGAAAGAUUGAAGAAUGAGAAGAAGAUCCUUGUGAUUCUGGAUAACAUCUGGAACCCUCUUGAUUUGGGGACUAUUGGAAUUCCUUUUGGAGUUGAGCACAGAGGAUGCAAAUUAUUAUUCACAACAAGAGAUCUUGAUGUGCUGUUAAGGAUGGGAUCUGAAAAAAACUUCUCGAUUGGCAUUUUAAAUGAACAAGAAGCCUGGAGAUUGUUCAAGAUAAUGGCUGGUGAUUAUGUUGAAAAUCGUGAGUUAAAAUCUACAGCAACAAGUGUAGCCAAGGCAUGCGGAGGUUUGCCUAUUGCCCUAACCACAGUAGCAAAGGCACUGAGAAAAAAAGAGCUGCCUGUGUGGAAGAAUGCCUUGCAAGAACUCCAAACGCCUUCAGAGGCGAGCUUCGACGAAGGAGUACCAGCAGAGGCAUACUCAACAAUUGAGCUGAGUUACAAGUACUUAAGAGGUGAGCAACUCAAGAAAACUUUUUUACUGUGUAGUCUUAUUACGCCAGCACCAAUUAUGGACUUGUUCAAAUAUAGCAUGGGCUGGGGUGUAUUUAAAAGUGUCCACAAGCUAGAAGAUGCACAUAACAAAUUACAUGCAUGGGUCCAUCAACUAAGAGACUCUUGUUUGUUGCUUGAGGAUGGUGGCAGUAAAUACUUUUCUAUGCACGACGUUGUUCGCGAUGUUGCCAUUUCAAUUGCAUGUCGUGACAAAAUUGGAUUUGUGGUGACAAAUGAGGAUGAUUGGAAAUGGCCAAAUGCAGAUGAAUUAAAAAAAUAUCUUGCAAUUUCUUUAAAAGAUAGUAUUAUUAAUGACAUUCCUGAAGGGUCCGAAUCUCUACAACUUGAACUUCUAGUCAUGUCUCCCAAGAACUCUUUUGCUGUGCCUAAUAUUCCUGAGAACUUCUUCAAAAGGACGAAAAAGCUUCGGGUUUUGGAUUUUACUGGAAUGCGGUUAUUGUCAUUGCCAUCUUCAAUUGGUCUUCUAGUAAAUCUUCAGGCACUCUGUCUUAAUCAAAGCAUUUUGGGAGGCAUAGACAUAGCCAUUAUUGGAAAGUUGGAAAAUCUAGAAAUCCUCAGCUUUUUGCAAUCUGAUAUUGUAGAGUUGCCUAAAGCACUGGGUCAACUGACUAAGCUAAGGCUGUUAGAUUUAACAGACUGUUUCCGUCUGAAAGUUAUUGCCCCAAAUGUCAUAUCAAGCUUAAUCCGAUUAGAAGAAUUGUAUAUGGGUAAUUGCUCCAUUGAAUGGGAGGUUGAAAGAGCCAACAGCAAAAGAAGUAAUGCUAGCCUUGAUGAAUUGAUGCAUUUACCUCGGCUAACCACUCUAGAAAUUGAUGUUAAAAAUGAUAGUAUUUUACCAGGAGGCUUUUUGGCCAGAAAGCUCGAAAGGUUCCAAAUACAUAUUGGAAAUGGGUUAUUCACACAUCCCAUGCUUUUUAGACACAGAUGGUUUAAAAGUUGGCAGCACUUUGUGAUCGACAGAGAUCGCAAGAGUUUAAGAGCAUUGAAGCUCAAGCUUGAUUUUAUGGACAUUUGCUCCAUGAAAUUGCAGGGCAUCAAUAACGUUGAAUGCUUAUGGUUGGACAAGCUGCAAGGCAUCGAGAGUGUUCUUUUCAAUUUGGACACGGAGGGCUUUUCACAAUUGAAGCUUCUCUGGGUUCAAAAUAAUCCUGACAUCUUUUGUAUCGUCGAUUCCAGGGAGAUGGUCGCUUGUGAUGCCUUUCCUCUUUUGGAGUCACUUAUCCUUCACAACUUGAUCAACAUGGAGAGGAUAUGUAUUGAUCGGCUCAAAGUAGAGUCUUUCAACAAACUCAAAACCAUAGAAGCAUAUAGUUGUGAUAAAUUGAGUAAUAUCUUUUGGCUCUCUACUACAAAAUGCCUUCCAAGACUUGAGAGAAUUGCAGUUAUUAAUUGCAGCAAGAUGAAAGAGAUUUUUGCAAUUGGGGAAGAAGUUGAUAAUGCAAUUGAGAAGAUAGAGUUUGCUCAAUUAAGAUAUUUGAGUCUGGGGAAUCUUCCAGAGGUUACAAAUUUCUGCCGUGAAGUAAAGACUCCUUCAGCAUCACCAAACAGACCAGCGUCGCAGGAGGAAUCGACGACUACGUAUAGCUCCAGCGAAAUCACUUUGGAUACUUCAACUCUGCUUUUCAACGAGAAGGUGCGUAGGCUAACAUUUUCUUCAUAUAUAACAGAUUUUAUUCAUAUAAUUAAGAAAAUUGGUCAACUCAAAUGGACUUAAUCAUUUAAUUUUUCGUAAUUAAAUCAUUUAAAGAAUGGAAAGAAAAUGGAAAAAAAAGGAUAAAAAGAAUCUCACGCGCUCACUAAUUGAGCUCUUAACAAGUAGUAUGAAUUAGAAUGCAUACUCAGCUGUCAGUUGGAAAUUGAUUCAGACUUGCAUUAAUUUGUAAUCAAAGAAGAAAAUUUCAACAAGUGCUUCCCAUAUGGAUAUUGGAUCUAACGAGAAAUUCUUAUUUUUUUAGGUUGUGUUGCCUAACUUGGAGGCUUUGGAGAUAUAUGAAAUUAAUGUCGACAAGAUUUGGCACUACAAUAAUCUUCCGGUCAUGUUUCCUCGCUUUCAAAAUUUAACACGAUUGACUGUGCAUCGUUGUCAUAAAUUAAAAUACAUAUUUUCAGCGUCUAUGAUCGGAAGCCUUAAGCAGCUCCAACACCUAGAUAUACGACUCUGUAAGGAAUUACAGGAGAUCAUUUCUGAAAACAGAGCAGAUCAAGUGACCCCUCAUUUUGUCUUUCCACCGCUCACCACUCUGAGACUCGAUGGUCUACCAAAACUUAGAUGUUUGUACCCUGGAAUGCAUACUUCGGAAUGGCCCGCGCUAGAAAUUCUUUAUGUGUAUGGUUGUGACAAAUUAAAGAUAUUCGCUGCAGAUUUAUCGCAGAAUAAUGAGAAUGAUCAACUUGGUAUUCCUGCACAACUGCCCCCCUUGCCGUUGGAAAAGGUAUGAAGCCAUUUUCUAGAUUUUUUAUCAAUAGCUUAUUUUUAACUUUGAAAAAUAUGACAAAGUAUCGAUAAAUUAAUACUCAAUAAAUUAAAAACUUUUAUUAUACAAUAAUCUUUGUUAGUCUAGACUAAGGGAUCAAUGUGGUAGAUUAAUAAUUAUAUGAAUUGUUUUAGGUAUAGCAUUUGUAAAAGAAUCCUCAGUCUUUCCAUAUAGAAGAACUUACAAAAUAAAUUAGUAAUUUAUUAUUGUGCAAUAAAAUAAUUUCGAGCCUGUAUAAAUCAACAUUUUUUCCCUAAUUUCUUUUUUACCUCUAAAAUUAACAUAUAAAAAAUCAUUUAAUAAAUUUUAUCAAUAAUUCAAUCUUUUUUUUUUUUUUUGAGAAUGAUGAACUUGAUACUCCUGCACAACAGGCCCUAUUGCCGUUGGAAAAUGUAUGAAGCCAUUUUCUAGAUUUCUAUCAAUAGCUUAGUUUGAACUUUAAAAAAUAUGACAAAGCAUCAAUAAAUUAAUACUCAAUAAAUUGAAAACUUUUAUUAUACAAUAAUCUUUGCUAGUCUAGACUAAGGGAUUUAUUGAUAGAUUAAUAAUUAUAUGAACUUUUUUAGGUAUAGCAUUUAUAAAAGAAUCCUUAGAGCAUCACCAAAAGACUCUUUAAAUAAGAUUUUAUUACUUAUUUGAAGAGCCACAUCAGCAUUUAAAGUUCCAAAAGAUACUCCAAUUAAGAUUCUUCAAAUAAGAAAUGAUCAUCUCUCUUCAAAUUUGGAGAGUUGCAUUCCCCCUCUUCAAUUUAUAUUUUAUUACUUUUUGUUGGAGAAAGAGAGAGAGGUGUUUUAAUUACUAUUGACUUUUUAUUUUUUAAAAAUAGUUAUUUAAUUAAAAUAAUAUUAAUUCAUUUCUAUUUGAAGAGUCUUUUGGAGAAUAACAUAUUUUUUCACUUUUCUAUUUGCCACAUAGGUAAGCAAAUAGAAAUUUGAAAGAGUAAAAUUUAUAGAGCCUUUUGGAGAUACUUAGUCUUUCCAUAUAUAAGAACUUACAAAAUAAAUUAGUAAUUUAUUAUUGUGCAAUAAAAUAAUUUCCAGCCAGUAUAAAUCAAAAUUUUUUCCUUAAUUUCUUUUUUACCUCUAAAAUUAACAUAUAAAAAAUCUAAAAUAUAAUAUAAAACAAAUACUAUAAAGUCACUGCGUGUGAUUGGAUUACUUAAAAUCAUUUGAGAGAACAUCAAUUGACCUUAAUAAUUAUUAUGAUUGAUGAUGAUCAGAUCUUACCCAACUUGAAGGACCUAACAUUAAAUGGAAAAGACGUGAAGAUGAUUUUGCAGGCCGAUUUCCCCCAACCCCUUUUUGGCAGUCUUAAACAACUAAAUAUUGUUGGCGAUGACUCAGCUUGUUUUCCAAUCUGGAAUGUACUUGAGAGAUUUCACAGUCUCGAAAUACUCAUACUGUGUUAUUUUUCAUUCCACGAAGAGGUAUUUUCGAUGGAAGGAUGCUUAGAGAAACAUGUGGGGAAGUUGGCAAUGAUAAAAGAAUUACAGCUGCACCAGCACUAUCAUCUUGAGCAGCUGUGCAAACAAGACUCCAAACUUGGCCCCAUUUUUCAGUAUCUUGAAAUUCUAAAAGUAUAUGAUUGUCAAAGUCUGUUAAUUCUAUUGCCAUCAUCAUCGGUAUCUUUUCGGAACCUAACGGAAAUUGUAGCUUUCGGUUGCAAGGAAUUGAUACACUUGGUAACAUCCUCCACAGCAAAAACUCUAGUGCAACUCGUCACAGUGCGUAUGCGUGAAUGCAGAGCGAUGACAGAGGUGGUAAUAAAUGACAAAGAAGGAGUUGAAAAAGAAGAGAUUGUUUUCCGCAAAUUGAAGACGUUGGAACUGCGUGAUUUAGAUAGCCUCACAAGUUUCUGCUCUGCCAAUUACACCUUCAAAUUCCCAUCUUUGCAAGAUUUGUGGGUGAUUGGUUGUCCCAAGAUGAAGAUUUUCACUACAGGAGAAUCAAUCAUGCCUCUAAGAGUAAACGUCUGCUAUGGAGAGACAGCGGAUCAACGGCGCUGGGCUAAUAAUGAUCUAAACACAACCAUACAACAAUUACAUGCUGAGAAGGUACGUAUAUACAUAUUACUCUCUAUCUCCCAUGAUAAAUUUUUACAAAAUUUGCUUUCUUAAAUACAAUAUAGAUAAGAUAUUUUUUAUAAAGUAAAAGUUUAAAUUGAUGAAUAAGAAUUUUACUUUCAGCUGUUGGCGGUGUCGUCGUCAUACUCUACGCAGUACGACUAAUUUCAUAGGCUUCUUAUGACUUGGAGUUGCGAAUUUUUAGAAGAAAGUCUCAACUGGUAAUUAAUUUUUAUUUCAUUUAUUUAAUCCCAUGGCUUGUUUCGCAAUUUCAUCUGAAUUAUUUAGAAUGGAUCCCUCGGUUUACUGUUAAAUUUGCAAUGCAAUUUUAAUGAUCCUUUCAGACUUUUAUGGACAGAUUUUGCAUAAUUGAAUGUCUUUUUAGUCUAGUUUAAUUUGAGUCUUUUUUUUUUUUUUGGCGAGCUCCCCUCGUCUUCUAAAAUUUUGUAACUCCUUGCAUACGUUUUGAUGAUAAAAUUUCAUUAAAAGCCUUCGUAUUUUUUAAAUCCUUGAAAACGUGCAUACUUUUUCCUUUCUUUCUUUGCCAAUUAUUUAUCGUCAUCAUUGCUGUUCUUUUAUUUUACUUUGUGCUCUGUUUGUUCAUUGGGUUUGCUUUUCUUCACACCUAUAUUUCCUUGGAAAGUUAGAAGGCAAGGAAAGUACUUAGAAAAUGUUCUUCCCUAUGAACACAUAAUUAAAGAACAGCUGAAUAUCAUUAAUCGGAUUAAAAAAAUUAAAAAAAAAAAGUAAUCAGUGCAUAUUCAUAAUAUUUUCUCUGUUGUUCCUGUUAAAAUUUCUCUACUCUAUGAUUGCAGAAUGUUUGGAUACUGAUGAAGAUUUAAGUCACUCGUCCUCUGUGAAUAAGGUCGUUUUCCUUUUUUCCUCUAUUCAAAGUUUACAUUCUGAGGGGUUCCCGUUUCCAUCUUCGUGAUCUUCUUGUGAUUCACUGCAUUGUGUCGCUACAUCUGUGAUAGUGUGAGUUGCAACAUGUCUGUUUCCUUUGUUUGAUCAUCGCAAGUCCAAAGACAUUUCAUUCUAGCUAAGCUCUUUGUAUGUAUUAAAAAAAAUUUAUUCUCAAUAUAUAUGACUCAAUGAGUGGUCUUUUAUUAUAUAUAUGUCAUGAAUUUCUAUUGUAUUUUGAGAUUUGAUGGUGUAUUAUUGUCUCAUUGAAAGGUCUUGUAAUCACUCUGAUUCUCAUUUGAGGAGGUUGGUCUCGUCUAUGUGUAUGUAUUUAUAUCCACAAGAAAUUUGAUAAAUGGUCUUGUCGUUUUAUCAUUAAAACAUCUAGUGCUUCAUAGGUUGGAGGGCUACCAGGCAUCAGGGCCAGAUUUUUAAACUCAAAGUUAUUCGUGUCAUUUACCCAUUUGAUUAUCAAAUAGUCAUAAAAGCAUAUAAAUUCAAGUCAGUGUAUCAUUUGUACACAAUAUACUAAAACUAACACAAGAACUUGGCCGACAUUUUCAGUUGAAUAACUCAGACCCCCCUACUUCCUCGGGCUGACAGCCCAAAGUGAAAAUAUCUAAAAAAAAUAGUUUGCUCCACAUCUAUCUUUCCUAACUUAGGAAGGCAAGGAUUUUGAAAGCUUUGCUUGAUAAAAUCUGAAAGUUCUGAAGAAGAUUCAGGUCACUCGCGUGCAGCCUCUGGAAUAAGAGCUGUGUUACUGUUUAAAAGUUUUCAUGCUCUGGAAUAAAAUUUGCUUUACUGUGUUACUGGUCAACUUCAUUAUUCUACUAAUGCUUUACUUCAUCUUCAUUGUAUCACUACAUUGACAGCGUUGACAGUGUAACUAAAACCCUUGCGUUCACAAGCAAUUUUGAUCACAUUAAACUUUUAAGAAAUUAUCUUUUAUAGCCAUCUUCCAUAUUAUUAGGAGGAGUCGUUUUCACUAUUUUUAAGAAAUUUUGAUCACAUUAAACUUUUGAUCUGAGUUCAUAACAAAAAUCAAAACGGUGCAUGACAUCAAGAUUAUGAUGAAUCAAAUUGAACUCCCAAUAUGUUAGUUCAUAAAAAAUGCUUUUCUUCUUCCAAGUAAUCUUAUCAUUUCUUUCAUUUUAUUCAUUCUCCUCUUUUCUCCUCUUUUCAAGUCUUCAAUCUUAAGUACAUUACUGAACUGGUUUUUCACCUCGGCUCCAGACAACCGAGAAGGUGCUUGUCCCCACUCUCUAGUUUUAUCAGAUGGCACUAUAUUUUCGGAACCUAUGAUUUGUUGGUAAAAAUCGACGGUGACCCACGUGACAAUUUUCUACUAUGUAUCAACCAAUUAGAUCUAGUGUUUUGUUGGCAAACAAGAAAUGCUUAUUUACCUUUAAUACUCCACCCAAACAAGUUGGCAUAUGCUAGAAAGUCGGAGAUAGUCCAUAACAAUGCUGCGUGUGACUUGAACAUUUGAUUACGUGAUGCAUUAUGCACCAUUCCAACCAUACUAGCAUCACUACCCGAGUCAUGACUAACCUGUUUCUUAGUUAGAUUUCAAAGAUGAAGAUGGCUCACCCUCCAAUAUCCAGUUUUAAUACUUUAACCAAUAGCCAUUUAUAAUGAUAUGGUCUCUUGCCACUUUCCUUAUAAUGAAAUAUCGAUAUUACAACACCUCUUAGAAGGACAAUAAAUUCUUUUAUCACCAACAACAUUCUCAAAUGCAAAAUCUAUAAAUUUUUUGACCCCCAUCAGUAUAUGAAUUGGAUAUCUAUUUGGCAAACCAACCCAACUCUGGUCCAUGACUAUCUCCUUUUAUUGCACUAGAAAAAUUAGUUAAAUAAAUCACUUUAAUUCUUCAUUUCUACUACUAAACAAGAUAUUUUCAUGCGUGCGCAGUUUCGCAAUAUAAUAAAAAAAAUUAUUAUACAAUUUUAUGGUUUUAUAUAUAUGGAAGCAAGCAAAGCCACAAGAAUCAGAGAAAAAGAUGUGAAAAUUAAAGUAUAUAUACAAUAAUAAUUAAUCUAAAAAACAGUUUGCAAUACCUUCUGUAAAGAAAUAUCCUCACCCACAGCUGAGAACUUCACUUGGCUAUCAAUUACAGAUAUAUAAAGCCUGUUACCUAGAAACAAAAAAUUAGGUCAGCCAGCUGAAACAUAUUUAUAAACCAACAUUGGAGAUAGUACUCCAUUUAUAAAAAAAAUUACAAGACUCAAAACCAAGUCGACUCAGCAAAAUCAUAACCGAUUACAUUCAUCCCACUCAGCUCCUCCAAUAUAUCCAACAUUCCCUUCAUAUUUACAAAAGGUAAGUGGUCCUAUAUAUCCCACUCAAGAAUGCAUAAGUUUCUUCAAUCUUAAGUAUCUAAAGUUUUCCUCUACGUUUAUAGAAACUUCGGAAGCAUCUCCCUAUAGUUCUUCAAGUACACGACAUAGAUAUAUGAGUGUUUAUGUGUUAUGCCAAAACAAUACAUGACACCCAUUUGUCUAGUAUGCACCCAGAGAACAUGAGGAGCAGCUGCUGAAAAACCCAUUUUUACGUGGGAAAAAAAUUUCAGGCACUAGCUACCAUAGAAAUCUAUGCAUUACCAAACUGUCCAAGCCUAGAUAAUUCAAGAAUUAUUAAUAGACAUAAGAUCCUCACUAUCAUCCAAAAGAUGACACUAAUAAAACAUGUGUCUAUUAAUAAUUUCUUAAAGGAGUUUAAGCUUUCAAUGCAUGUAUCAAAAGUUUAAAAUUGAAUCUGAAACUUGAAUAACACAUAAAAAUCAUAAAUCUCUUCAAUUUAUUCCUAAUAAAAUGUAGCAUUUUUUCACAUUUCAUUUCUUAAGCAAAACCAUAAAAAAUUACAAACAACAAAUACAUUUUCUAGCACUGAUGCACAUUAUGUUUACUGAGCAAUAAGUUUUAAGUCAUUCAUAUUAAAAUACUUCUUCCUAUUCUAUCAACAAAUAACUAGUAUGUACACACAAUUAAUAAAUUAAAUGUAACCUGGUUGUGAAUCUUGCAAAGUCUUCCUAUUUGGUUUUUUUUUUUUUGGUGGUGGUUGGGGGGGGGGGGGGUGGUUAUGCUCAUUUGUAUGUUGUUAACAGAAAUUGAUCCAAAGCCUCCGUUUUAAUUAGCUUCAUUAUAGCCAAUGAUUAGGUGUUUAAAAACCAAUGAAUAUUUUUUAUAAGAAAUCAACAAUAUUGUUGAAAGAAAAACCAAAUAAAAAUAAUAAAGCAAUGCAUAGAUUAAGGCUCUUUAUUAUCUAAUAACUAAUCAAACUAAGUUGUGGGUAAAGGCGAAUAUGUUUGUUUGGCCAAUAAUAAACUCAAGGAAUCACCAAUAAUCACCUAGUUACUAUUCCUUAUGCCAUGCAAUGUAAUGGCGUCGGUAAUGGCGACAAGGCAGGCAAUAACUAGCUAGCUAGUUAUGAUAGUUGCUUAACUUAACCUACUGGAAAUCUGAAGACCAAAAUGAAGAAACUUUGUCUAGAACUAGAAUAGGAAAACAUUCAUACCCAAAACCAAUAUACAUGAUUAAGAAACUUGAUUAUAUGUAUAUUUUUGUUUGCCACACCAAAUCCCACUAUUUCCAUACUCAUAAGCACAAAAAACCAUCGCAAAAAUGAAUGACCAUAUAAAAUAAAAUAGGUCGUAGGACAUUGAGUAUAGGACAAUAUGAUUUAUGUACCGUAAAAUAACUAUAUCUGCAGUCAACUAUAUUUCUGUUCGAACUCUAAAGUUUUCCAUUAAAUUUUUUCCCCUGUUAGGUAAACCACUUAACUGAAACACUUAAGCAAGAUUGACAAUCAUAGACAUAAAAGUAUUAGGCUCGUUCAAGUGAAAUGAGCAUUAUUUGACAUAUCCUUUAGGCUUUUAAGUCAUUUAGAAGUCAUUCAUGUUAAACAAUUUCUUCAUAUACUUUCAAUAUAAUUAGUACAUACACAAUUAAUUAAUUAAAUAAAUCUGUUUCAGCUAGCACAGGAACUUAAGCAAUCAGAGCUAUUAGUUAUAGCUAGGACUUGAAUGAGGCACCUUUCAAAGUUCAAGAGGAGCAUCUGAACAGAAUGAAAGCAUUUUGUAGAAAUGGUAGUGAUGCUUUACAUCUACAUGCUCUUACACAAUAUGAACUUUCAUUUAUUCAAGAACAUAACACUAAUCCAAGCUCUUACUCUACAAGUCAAUUCAGUUUGUAGAUGCAAGCCAUUGUAAAAACUUUUGUGUUAUAAUUUCCGUAAAUGGAACAUGACAUUACUAAUAUAGAAUCAGCAAUGUUAUAUAACUUAUCAGACAAUAUAACAAGCACUUGGCGAGCAUAUAAGAUAAACUAAAACAAGUUAAUUAGAAAAUGAAACUAAAACCCAAGCUCCGCUAUUCAUUGUAGAAGCUUUAAACAUAAAAUAAAAGUAAAUCUAAAUACAUGAUUGUAAAACAUUAGAAUGAAUGUUGAAAUGAAAGCUAAAUUCAAUAGUAAUCCAAAUGAAUCCAUUUGAACUUUGUAAAUUCCGCAGAACAAAAUUAAUUUGAGUGAGCAAAGUCACCAAUGGAACAAGAACAGAAGGGCUUCAACUUCUAGGAACAAGAAAUAUUGCCGGCGGGACAAAAAUUGACAUUAAUGGUUACAAUACGAAUUAAAGAAAUCAAAACCUAUAAUUACAAGCUAAGAAAGAGAAGAAACUCAUAAUCACAAGCUUACCUGAAACGAUGAGAGAGAUAAUAAGAUGAAGAAGAAGAUCGCCGCCGUUUUACGCCAUUCUCCGGCUACCAGUAAGGUUUAGGAUGGCCAGGCACGCACGAGAGAGAAUUUGGGACUUUGGUUUUGAAAAUAUUGACUUCAGCAAAUAGUUUUCUAUUUAGAAACAAAUUUAUAACUCUACCGUCAAAAUAAUAGUAUGCCAAUUGGCUCUCUACCGUCACGUGGUUAGUAACAUAAGUGAGAGCAGUCUAGCAGAUAUUCCCGCGGGGACAUGACCCUCGAGAUUUUCCCAAUUCAGGAGGGUAUAUGAAUUGCUAGAGAUAUUUUGGCAAUUCUAAUUACAAAUGUUGCUUCUGAAUUAGUUUUUAGCACCAGUGUUAGAGUACUGUAACACGUUUUAUUCAAGCACAUUGGAGGCUUUAAUAUGUUGUCAAAGUUGACUACAAGCUUACAAUGGCAAUAUGAGUUUAUUUUACAUUGUAAUUAUAUUAUAUAAUUAUUAAUAUUUUCACUUAGAAUUUACAUUACUUAUAUUAUUUUUGUUGUUUUAAAUUUGAAAUCUGAGGCUAUCUCUCAAUUUGUCACAUUUCUCGAGGAAGAACAAGAAGAGUAGGAGACACAAGAGGUAAAUACUUUUAUUAGAAAUAUUGAUUAAGUAUCUAUAUUCAUUUCAUUUAUCUCAUUGUUGAUAUAAAAGUAAUUUCUUUUUUUUUUAUUAUAUGAUUUUGAAGAUUGCCGAAGAUAAUUAUUAUGGUGAUUUAUACUUUGUAAUGUGACUUUUGUAAUAGAUUAAUGUUAAUGUAAGAUAUAUCGUCAAACUUUAUUUUUAUUUUUUAUUUUAAUAUGAUUAAAUUAAAAUUUAAAACUAAAAACGUAUCAGUUAUUCGACAAUCGAGGACCUUUAAGGAUCCCCUAUUAUUAUUUGGGGAGGGGAGGGGGAUUCCCUAAAGUAAUUUUGUCGGGAAUGGGAAGAGGACAUGGAUAUAUGCAGAAUAUCGGGAAUGGGUACGGGGAGAUCAGUCUCUUCCCCUCCCCUUUCCAUUGCCAUUCCUAACAAAGUUGGCAAUACAUGUACGGGCCGCUUUUGUAAAAUUGCUUUAAGGGUCGUUUGGGAUUGCUUUUGGGAAUAGCAUGCAAGAUAUAUAUAAAAAAUAAAAUCGUAGAAUAACUUUUACCUCUAAUUCGAUUUUUUCUUCUUUUUUGUAAAUUAUUAUGCAUUUAUAUUAAAGUCACUGUGUAUGAUUGGAUUAUUAAAAGUUAUUUGAGAGAAUAUGAAUUGACUUAAUAAGUUAUUACGUGAUUGAUGAUGAUCAGAGCUUACCCAACUUAGGAGGAACGGGCAUUAAGUGGAAAAGACUCGAGGAUGACUUUGCAGAGCGAUUUCCCACAACACCUUUUUGGCAGUCUUAAACUACUACAAACAGUGAAUAUGAGAUUGUUUUCACCAAAUUGAAGAUUUUGUAUCUGUAUGAUUUGGGUAGUCUCACAAGUUUCUGCUGAUAGUCUCAGAAGUUUCUGCUCUGCCAAUUACACCUUCAAGGAAUCUUUGGAAGAUUUAUCUAUAAUUGGUUGUCCCAAGAUGAAGAUUUUCACUAAAGGAGAAUUAAACGCGCCUCUGAGAGUAAACUUCUACUAUGGAGAGAGAGAUGAUCAACAGCUUUGGGACCAAACUAAAUUCGUUAAUCAUUAGUUUUUAACUUCAUUACUGUAUGGAAGUCCUGUCAAAUUAAAUUGCUGCUGUUAAAUUUAUUAAAUCUCUUGCUUCCCUGCAAAUCUCUGUGUGCUUUAAUUUUAAUUGAAACUAAUGAAUGAAAAUUUUACUUUCAGCUGUUGGAGGGGUCCUCAUCUUAUUCAACGAUGUAUGUGUCCUAAUGGCAUUGGCAUUUUACUUUAAUUACAAGCGAGUUGUGAAUUUGAAAAACAAAGUCCCGGUUAAUUCAAUUUCAUUUCAUUUUAUUUGAUUUCUUGGCUUGUUUUAUUGCUUCAUCUAAAUUGUUUGGAAUACACCACUAGUUUAUUUUUACUUUUAGAAUGAGUUUUAAUGUUUUGUUAUGAGAUUUAUAUGCUUAUUUUAUAUCAUUAAAGGUCUUAGUGACUUAUCUAUUUAUUUAUUUUUAUAUCAUUAAAGGUCUUCACUUAUUUAUUUAUUUAUUUUUUUGACGGUGUGGCUUUAUAAUGUGCUAUUUUUUUUUUAAUUUUGAAUUUUAUAAUUCCUUGAAAAUGUCAUUGAAAGGCCCAGCACUUUUAUGUGGAAACCAUCUCAUCCUCUUUAUUUCGAACUAUUAAACAACCAAAUGUAUCCUAACAUAUAUGUUGAGAAUCAAUCUACUGAUUAAGAUAUAUGGCAAUGGUAUUGUCUGUUUGCUAUAGUUUGAUUACAAGAGAACUUUUCCAUUUGUUAGUUGCCAUCUUUGUUGAUCUGUUAAUUCAGUCUUCUUCUGUUUGUCCUGUUUCUCUGUUUAUUUCAACCUUUCUUUCAAAACUUAGAAGGUAUGGAAAGAGCAAGUACUUAGAAAUUGCAAGAAUUAUAUCAAAUCAUGCAUAUAUGCCCCUGCCUAUGAACUCUUAGGAACAAUCGAAUAUCUUUCCUUGAAUAACAUAAAACAAAAUCUACAGAUCAUUAAACCAUCAAAAGUUAGCUAUGAACAACAAUAUUGACCCCACAAAAGAGUUUUCUAUUUAGAAACAAAUUUAUAACUUUAAAAUAAUGGCAUGCCAAUUGGCUCUCUACCGUCACGUGGUUAGUAACAUAAGUGAGAGCAGUCUAGCCGUCACAUAAACAGUCACAAAAGCAACUGGCUGUUGCAAAGUAAGGGGUGGCAGAAAUUCCUGCAGUGAUAGGGAUUCUCGGAAAUUUUCUCCAUUUGGAUAGGAUAAAGAGAUAAUUUUUUAUUUAAUUUCUUAUGCAGAGAAGGGAUGAAAAUAAUUUUUUUAUCUAAUUUUUUAUUCGAAAAAAGGAUGAGGAUACAGCGGAAUCCUCAUCCCCUCCUAAUUUCUUGAUUUUAAUUUUAUUUUUAUUUUUAUUUUUUAAAUUAUUUAUAAAUAAAUAAUAAAAUGUAAAUUAUAAAAUAUUAAAUAUUAGUAUAAAUAAAAAAUAUCAAAAUAAUUAUAUUAUUAAACUUUAAGGCCUAACUUACUGCAUUAAUAUUUGGAUGAGAAAGUUAUCCUACGGAUGAAAGAUUUUAAUAUUUUAAGUUGGUGAAAAACAAAUGCUCAUAGGUAUCCUAUAUUGGCACGAAUUGCUGGAGAUAUUUUAACAAUUCUAAUUACAAUUGUUGCUCCUGAAUAAGCUUUUAACACAGUGGUAGAGUAUUGUAACACGCUUCAUUCAAGCACAUUGGAGGCUUUAAUGUGUUGUCAAAAUUAGUUACAAGCUUAAAAUGGCAGUAUGAAUUUAUUUUACAUUGUAAUUAUAUUAUAUAAUAAUUAAUAUUUUCACUUAUAAGUUACAUUACUUAUAUUAUUUUUAUUGUUUUAAAUUUAAAAUCUGAGGCUAUCUUUCAAUUUGCCACAUUCAUCGAGGAAGAACAAGAGGAGCAAGAGACGCAAGAGGUAAAUACUUUUAUUAGAAAUAUUGAUUAAGUAUCUAUAUUCAUUUCAUUUAUCUCAUUGUUGAUAUAAAAGUAAUUUCUUUUUUUUUAUUGUAGGAUUUUGAAAAUUGACGAAGAUAAUUAUUGUGGUGAUUUGUACUUUGUAGUGAGAUUUUUGUAAUGGAUUAAUAUUAAUGUGAGAUAUAUCGUCAAACUUUAUUUUAUUUAAAAUUUUAUUUUAAUACGAUUAAAUUAAAAUUAAAAACUAAAAACAUAUCAUUUAUUCAGGGAUCGAGGACCCACAGAGAUCCCCUAUUAUUAUUCAGGGAGAGGAGGGGAUUCUCUAAAGCAAUUUUGUCGAAGAUGGGAAGAGAGUAAGGAUAUAUGCAAAAUAUCGAGGAUAGGUACGGUGAGAUUGGUCUCCUCCCCAUUAUUAUCCCUAACAAAGUUGGUGAUACAAGUAACGGCCGCUUUUUGUAAAAUUGUUUUAAGGGCCGUUUAUGAUUGCUUUUGGUAAUAGCAUGCAAGAUAUAUAUAAAAAAUAAAAUGGUAGAAUAACUUUUACCUCUAAUUCGAUUUUUUCCCCUUUUUUUUUGUAAAAUAUUAUGCAUUUAUAUUAAAGUUACUGUAUAUGAUUGGAUUAUUAAAAGUUAUUUGAGAGAAUAUGAAUUGACUUAAUAAGUUAUUGCGUGAUUGAUAAUGAUCAGAGCUUACCCAACUUGGAGGAACGGGCAUUAAGUGGAAAAGACUCGAGGAUGACUUUGCAAAGCGAUUUCCCACGACACCUUUUUGGCAGUCUUAAACUGCCACAAACAAUGGAUGAUGCCUCAACUUGUUUUCCACAUGGUUUACUUGAGAGAUUUCAUAAUCUGGAAACUCUCAUACCGGGUCGUUGUUCAUGCGAAGAGGUAUUUUCAAACGGAGGAUACUUGAGAAAACAUGUGAGGAAGUUUGCAAUGAUAAAACAUUUAGAUCUGCACAAAUUUAAUCAUCUGAAGCAAUUGUGGAAACAAGACUCCAAAUUGCACUUCUUUUUUCAAUGUCUUGAAAUUCUAAAUGUACAUUUUUGUCAAAAUCUGUUAGGUCUAUGGCCAUCAUAUCAUCGGUAUCUUUUGGGAAUGUAAAAGAACUUCUAGUUCUUUUUGCAAGGAAUUGAUGAGCUUAGCAACAUCCCCCACAGCAAAAAGUCUAGAGCGACUCUUAUCAAUGGUGGUAUGUGGAUGCAGAGAAAUGAGAGAGGUGGUGAUAAAUGACGAAGAUGGAGCAGCAAAUUUAAAAGAAGAGUUGUUUUCACCAAAUUGAAGAUUUUGUAUCUGUAUGAUUUGGAUAGUCUCAGAAGUUUCUGCUGAUAGUCUCAGAAGUUUCUGCUCUGCCAAUAACACCUUCAAAUUCCCAUCUUUGGAAGAUUUAUUUUUACUUUUGGAAUGAGUUUUAAUGUUUUGUUCUGAGAUUUAUAUGCUUAUUUUAUAUCAUUAAAGGUCUUAGUGACUUAUCUAUUUAUUUAUUUUUAUAUCAUUAAAGGUCUUAAUUUAUCUAUUUGUUUAUUUUUUUUGACGGUGUGGCUUUAUAAUUUGCUAAUUUUUUUUAAUUUUGAAUUUUAUAAUUCUUUGAAAAUGUCAUUGAAAGGCCCAGCACUUUUAUGUGAAACCAUCUCAUCCUCUUUAUUUCGAACUAUUAAACAACCAAAUGUAUCCUAACAUAUAUGUUGAGAAUCAAUCUGCUGAUUAAGAUAUAUGGCAAUGGUAUUGUCUGUUUGCUAUAGUUUGAUUACAAGAGAACUUUUCCAUUUGUUAGUUGCCAUCUUUGUUGAUCUGUUAAUUCAGUCUUCUUCUGUUUGUCCUGUUUCUCUGUUUAUUUCAACCUUUCUUUCAAAACUUAGAAGGUAUGGAAAGAGCAAGUACUUAGAAAUUGCAAGAAUUAUAUCAAAUCAUGCAUAUAUGCCCCUGCCUAUGAACUCUUAGGAACAAUCGAAUAUCUUUCCUUGAAUAACAUAAAACAAAAUGUACAAAUCAUUAAACCACCAAAAGUUAGCUAUGAACAACUAUAUAAAAAUCAUUUGUUUCUCACCUUUUCGUGAGUCUGAGAAGUUGUAAAUUCUACUGAGUUUCUCACCUUUUUUUUGACAAUUGGAGUUUUUAGUUUAUGAAAUUUAAUGCCUAUAUUUCUCACAUUGUAGAAGUGUUUUGAAAAGAUGGUUUAUAUUGCACCAUAAAAAUGUGGUCUGAUAAACCAACAGGGGAGUAGUUUGAUCCAGUUACGUGAAAUGCAUGCAAAAUAAUAUUUUCUCUAUAGUUACUGAAGAGAAUUUUGGUCACUCUGGUGUGCAUUAUCUGGAAUAAAGUCGUUUUCCAGUUUCUUCAAAGUUUAUGUGCGGAGGACUUCCGGUUUCCAUCUUUAUGAUAUUCUUGACAUGCACUUCAUCCUGUCUCUCAAGUUCAAAUACUAAUAAAGAUGAGUAAAUUCAUCAUCCGUGUGUCUGCUCUUUCUAUGCAUUUUGACAUUUUUUAUUAAUGCGUCUCAAUGAGAUAUCUUGAUUAUAUGUAGCGAAUUAAUAUUCUGGCGUUUUUUGAGAUUUGAAGACGUAAUAAUUUCUCAUUGGAAAGCCUUUAAUUAUUGAUUUUCAUCAAAGGGGAUUGGUCUUGAAUGCAAAUGAAAUUUGAUAAAGGACCUUGACAUUUUUUAAAAUCAUCUAGCCUAGUAGUACUUUAUGUGUUGGAAGUGUCCCAGACCGAGAAAGAUUUCAACUUGGAGGAAUUGACAUAAAGCAAAAUGGUCUUCAUCAUCAUUUGUAUGGCAGCAGGGCCAGCUUCGUAAACUGUCAUUUUCCACGAACCAGCUGUUUUUCAAGUUGGAUUGCUCCGGAAUACUCACAAUCUGGAAAAGCUUGUAACCGUACAUAGAAAUAUUUUCACGUGCGGAGGUUGGGGAACGUGCUGAGAGGCUCACACAUAAAAACCUUAAAAGCUAAAAAUGGACUUUGGUGCAUUAAAAUUUUUAAAAUAUAUCAGAAGUAUCAUAUCAAUCAUACGAUAAGUAGAUAAUGUUAUAACAUGUGUUUAUUUAUUCUGAAAAAUUACUAAUCUGUAAUGUAUUUUAGAAUUCCUCCUGGUGGAUAGUGGAGCACUUAUGGAAAACAGAUUCCAUUUAUUUCUUCAAAAUCUUGAAAUUCUAAAGGUAUAAAAAUGUCGCCACAAUUUGAUAAAUCUUGUACCAUCCUCAGCAUCUCUCCGAAAUCUAACAGCAUUUACGCGGCUGUGCGGGACGAAUAAGCUAAUUAGUAUUUACUAACCCCAAACAAUUGAGAAGGAUACUAAAAUUUGGACCCUAUCACUUCAUUCGGUGUAAAUAACUAACUAAAAGUAGAUAAAUAAAUAGCUGAAAAUAUCACAAACUAUUUUAAAUUGAUUAUUAAAGUAAUGGAAUAUAUUAAAAUGAUAUAUAUAUAUGCGAGCGCGCGCACGUAUGUAUAUAUAAAAUAAAUAAUAUAUAUAGUCCUUUUUUGGUACAGACGCGUUCAUUUUUUCAUGCUAACAUGCUUUUAAGCCGUACAAUUUAAGAGAGCUAGUUGAAAGUUAGUUUUUAAUGUUAUUAAACCCUACGGCUUAAAAGGGUGUUUGCAUUAAAAAAAAAAAGAGAACACUAGCACCUAAUAAUGAUUAUAUAUAUAUAUAUCAAUUCAAGAUUUUAAAGUGCAAGAAAGUCCAAAAAAACUUUAAACAGUGGGGUUUUAAAAAUUUUCCGGACCUUUCUUGCACUUUAAGAUCCCGGAGGCUCUUGAUUAAAUCUUCAUCAUACUUGGAGAAAAUUAAAAAUGUAUGGAAGGAUAUUUUCAAGCUUGGUAAGGUCAAAUAAUUGUGGAGUUAAAAAAUUGAAUGAUGGGCAAGUUCAAACUACAAUACAAUUUAGAAACUUUUAGCGAAAAAUAAUAAGUGGAAAAACUUUAAAUUUCAUACAAAUAUGAAAUAUGUAUUAUGGGCUUGGCUAAGUUACGGUUUGUGUUAAUUUAAGGUUCAUGUAACUAACAACUUUAAUGAUAAAAUUGAAUAUAACAGUAGUUUUUUUCACAGAAAAAAUUAAAAAAAUAUAUGUAUUUUGGGCGAAACUUUUUGCGAAAAAUAAUGAGUGCCACGCUUUAUAACUUAAUAUGUAUUUUGGGCUUGGCGAAGUUACGGUUCAUGUAAUAAUCAAUUUAAUCAUUACCGGAUAAAAUUGAAUACACCAGUAGUGUUUUUCCGCGGAGAUAUCGCCAAAUUUUGUGUCAAAUAAAGAAUAAAAACCAUAAAUACCAGUAGUGUCCGAUUUUGAAAGCAAAGCAGCAUACAUAUUAACUACUAGGCUUUGAUGGUGGUUGCAGUAAAAAGGAUUAAAAGAGAGAGAGAGAGAGAACUUGAAAACUAUGGAAUGGAAGAUAAAUCAAAGUUAUAAAUUUGGACUCAAUAGUUUUGAUGUUCAAUCAAAUAUGGAGGGGCGAUUAGAAAUUAUCAAAAAUUUAGAGGGAUUUCAACCGUUCAAUUCAUUAUUAGGCGUUGUAGACUGCGGGGAUGCAGAAAUUUCCACAGGGACGAUGGCCCCGAGGGAUCUUCCUCAUUCGGGAGUUUGAUAAUUUUAGAUCUAAUUUUUCUAUGUGGAGACAAGAAUCUGAUAAAUUAAUAUGUGUGGGUGUAUAAUUUAGUGUUUGCCCUAAUAUUUUAUUUGGCUCCACAUUUUUCUAUUUCCAUCUUUAGUUUCUAUUUUUAAUUCUUUUUUUUUUCAAAUUUAUAGUAAAUACAUUUAAAAUUUCAAUUGUAAUAGUGUGAUGUAAAUAAAAAAUAUCAUAAUACAUUUAUAAAAAUAAUAUAAAUAACAGCCAAUAUAAAGUAAAUAUAAACACUUUAAAAUUGACAAAGAUAAUUUAAUUGAUGGUUUAUACUAUAUGACAUUUAUGGAUGAGUUCAACUUUGAAGAUUUACUUUUGCUUAAUUAGUUCAAAGAUUAUCUUCUCAUUUGAUGACAUUGACUUAAUUUGAUGGAAAUGAUUUUAAUCACUUUAGUUAAUUUGAUAUUUUUUGUGUUAAUAUGAUUUUAUAUUUUUACUUUAAGAUGAUUAAAUUAAGAAAAAAAAGAAAUUAAAUAAUCAGAGAUCGGAUGCCAUAAGAGAUCCCUUUGUAUUAUUUAGAAACAUCCAUCCCCUCGUUUCAAGUAAUUUUGAAGGAAAUGUCUAGAGUACAAAGAGAUAGACAGAGUAUUAAAGAUGAGUAUGGGGAAAUCAAUCCCCUCUCCUUCGCAUCUUAUUGACAUCCUUACAUAUGAGCCCAAGGGGAAAUGCACCGUGCCUGAUAAAAGUAAAAUUAAAAAUAAAAAAUUUCUUUUAUCAAAUCAUUCUAUGUGGUGGAGAUUAUUGUAUAAUCAAGUACACAUGGCAUUUUUAAAAGCUUUUUCUUUAUUUAAAGCUCUAAAGGUCUGCCUAAGAGUCAAGGUUGGUGCCGUUCUUCUAGAAGAACAACCCGUAUCUUUUGAUAUUCAAAGUUUGAAUAUCAAGUUCAAACUUUAAAUUUUGAAAUAAUAAUAAUAAUAAAUAUAAAAAGUGCCCAAAUUUUUAGCUAUAAAUAGAGGGGUUCACCCCCUCAUUUCAUUCAUUCUAUUCUUUUCUUCUUUAGUUCUAUAAUGAGAGAUUAAGAGUUUUAUACUCUUGAGUGACUAGUGUUUGGAGAGAUUGGGUGUAUUAAGGUUUUGAGAAGUGAAACAAAAUACUAAAAUACUUAUAAUCCUCAUUUCACUAGUAAAGUUUUAUCCUUUUGUCCUUACCUAUGGGCAUAAGUUAAAAGUCGAACCAAAUAAUUUAUGGUGUCCUCAGUGUGCUUGCUCUUCAUUUUCUUCCAAUUUCAUUUUACUCGCGGCCCUACUUCACAAAUUAAUUUUCUAAUAGUGGUAUCAGAGUCGGGUUGUAUUUUUUGGGGUCAAGAUACUGUUUACAUAUAUUGUACUGUUCAUGUAUAUGAUAUUGUUUCUGUAUACAACACUUUAUUCAUAUAUACAGUUACUGCUCAUAUGAAAUGGUAGGAAUCGAUCUUAGCAAAGGUAGCUCGUGGUGAACAAUGAUGGCGGAAAAAUACAAAAUUGAGAAGUUCAACAAAAAUAAUUUUUCGUCAUGAAAAAUGAAGAUGAAAGUUGUAUUGAGGAAGAGUAAUUGCUUGGCAACAAUUGAAGAGAGGCUCACAAAGAUAACUGAUGAUGACAAGUGGAAUGAGAUAGACAAUAAUGCCAUUGCAAAUCUGCACAUACCACUUUCAAAUAAGGUAUUAUUCAAUGUGGUAGAGUAAAAGAGAGCAAAGGAAAUAUGGUUUACUCUCACAAGACUAUACGAGGUCAAAUCACUACAAAAUAAAAUCUUUUUAAAGAGGAGGCUUUAUACUCUUCGAAUGACGGAAUCUACAUCAGUGAUCGACCAUAUCAACACUUUAAAGACUUUAUUUUCAUAACUUACAACGUUGGGUCAUAAAAUAGAGGAAAAUGAUCAUGUAGAGCUUUUACUUCAAGGUUUACCAGAUUCGUAUGAUUAAUUCGUCAUUAAUCUAACUAAUAACAAUCGAGCAAACAAGUUAGUCUUUGACAAUAUGGCAGCCUCCGUAUUAAAUGAGGAGAGUAGCAAAAAAUAAAAAAGAUAGACAGACAAGUUCGCAGCAAGUAGAAGCGCUAUUGAUGAUGAAAGGAAGAUCCAUGGAACGUGGCCCUAGUGAGAGCCACAAUCACAGUAGAUCGAAAUCAAGAAGUAAGAAGAAUGUUAAAUGCAACAACUGUGGCAAGAAAGAGCAUGUCAAGGAAGAGUAUUGGAACAACUAGAAGAGAAGAGAGGGUAAAGAUCCUGAGUCAUCAAAUGCUCAAGGGUAUGUAGUAAGUACCUCGUAUAAUGGAAAAAUUCUCUACAGUAAGGCAACAACUGCUUCAAAAGGCAGAAAACCACUAUAUGACGUCUGGCUUAUAGACUUAAUAGUUGUUUGGCACAUGAUCUCUCCAAGAGAAUGAUUUCACAAAUAUGAACCUAUUUCAAGAGAAUCUGUAUACAUAGGUGAUAAUCAUGCCUUUGAGAUCAUUGAUAUUGGUACUGUCAAAAUAAAUAUGUUUAAUGGUAUGGUUCGCACAAUUGAGAAGGUAAGACAUGUCAAAGACUUGAAAAAUAUCUCUUGUCUUUAGGACAAAUAGAUAGCCUUGUGCACAAAACUCAUGUAGAAAAUGGGAUCAUAAAGAUAGUCAAAGGCACACUUGCAUUAAUGAAGGUGGAAAAGAUCGGUGCUAAUCUAUUCAUGCUUAAAUGGAAACACUACAGAAAGCUUUUGUGUGUGUCACAUCAAAUAGAGAAAAUUCAGCGAUGAUGUGGCAUCUUAAACUUGGCCACAUGUCGAAACAAGGAAGCAACAUAGAUGAAAGUUUAGCAGAUCCACUUUCAAAAGUAAAUGUAUUUUAGACUUGAUUCAUUCUAAUGUUUGGGAAUCAAUUGAUAUAUCUAUGGGAGGUGCAAAGUAUUUGGUGACUUUUAUUGAUGAUUAUUCUAGGAGAUAUUUAGUGUAUCCAAUCAAGAAAAGGUCAAAUGUAUUUCCAUUGUUCAAAGAAUUCAAAGAAUAGAUUGAACUUAAAUCAGGGCAAGGGAUCAAGUGCCUGAGGACAGACAAUGGUGGAGAGUAUACAGAUAGCAUGUUUCUUGCAUAUGUAAGUAAGAAAGUAUCUAGAGAUAAUUUACAGUGGCAUACACUCCUCAAUAAAAUAGAGUAGUAGAGUGAAAGAACAUGACUCUUAUAGAAAAAAUAAGAGUUAUGUUGAGAACUGCUGGUCUACCAACUCAUUCUAGGCGGAAGUAGCAAAAACUACUUAUUAUGUGGUAAGUGGGUCAUCAUUCAAGGCAAUCGGGUUGAAGAUUCCAAUGGAAAAAUGGACAGGAAAGCCAACUGAUUACUCUCAUCUCAGGCAUUUUGAUGUCCUUUUACGUGAUAUACGAUACCCAAGUGAGAUUAAAAAUGGAUCCAAAAUCCAAGAGAUGUAUCUUCUUAGAAUCUAUUGAUGGAGUGAAAGGGUAUUAUCUGUGGGACCUCAAUGCCCACAAGAUCGUUAUUAGCAGAGAUAUUGUCUUUGUAGAAGAUCAAAUGCAAAAGAGAGAUAUGGAUGAUAGCACUAUUAAAAUUUAGAGAUUGUGCUAAUAUAUGUUGAAAAUAAUCUGGAAAAUGAAGAUUCAGAUUUUUUUGAAGCAGCACCAAAGUAUGAGAACAAGAACCAAUCAAGUCUGAGGCCCCAAAAGUUUGUUGGUCAACUCGUGAUAGAUAAAUGUAUGUGUGGCAUUUGGAUUAUGUCACAGAUAUCAAUUUUGCAUACUGUCUUUUAAUAGAGAAUGGAAAGCCAUCAACUUUCUAUGAAAUUUUAAACAGCUCAGAUGUUACUUUGUGAAUGAUAGCAAUGCAGGAAGAAAUUAAGGCUCUACACAAGAUUAUGACAUAGGAACUCGUACUACUACCAUAUAAAAAAAAACCAUUGGUUGCAAAUGGGUUCACAAGAUCAAACGUGAUGGUAAUAACCUAGUGGAGCGAUAUCGUGAAAGAUUGGUGGUGAAAGAAUGUAUUAACGUCAAUGAGAUAUUUUCUCCAGUGAUUUGACCCAGGACAGUCAGAGUGGUCUUGUCGAUGUGUGCUACAUUUGACCUAUAUUUGGAGCAGUUAGAUGUGAAAUUUUCAUUUCUUCAUGGAGAACUUGAAGGAAAGAUUUAUAUGCUCUAACUAGAAGGUUUUACUAAAAAGGGACACUUGGUUUGCAAGUUGAACAAAUCUCUAUACGAUCUCAAACAUGCACCGAGAUGUUGAUAUAAGAGAAUUGGUCAUUUCAUCAUAAACCUUGGAUACAAUAGAAUCAUUUCAUACUGUUGUACAUAUUACAACAAGUUUUAUAAUAAUGAUUUCAUCAUUCUACUGUGGUAUGUGGAUGACAUAUUGGUAGCAAGCCCCAACAAAGAUCGAGUCCAAGAACUGAAGGCACAGUUAACUAGGGAGUUUGAAAUAAAAGACUUAGAACCAGCAAACAAGAUUUUAGGGAUGCAAAUUCACCGAGAUAGUAAUAGCAAGAAGAUUUGGCUUUCUACCCCGCUUCUUAUUAAUUUCAAGUUAUUCUUAAGUAUUCAUCUAGUAAUGAAGUAGAGAAGAAGAGAUGUCUUGAGUACUGUAUGCAUCAGCAGUGGAAAAUUUAAGGUUUGCUAUGAUUUGUACAAGUAGUGGGAGCAGUUAGUCGAUACAUAGCGAAUCCUUGCAAAGAACAUUGGAAGACUAUUAAGAGGAUUCUGAGAAAUAUCAGAGGAACAUCAGAUGUUGCAUUAUGCUGCGAAGGAUUAGAAUUUACUGUCAAGGGCUUUGUGCAUUCAGAUUUUGCAGAAAAUCUUAAUAAAAGGAAACCCACUACUGGCUAAGUAUUUACACCAGAAGGCGAAAUUGUUAGUUGGAUUUCAAAAUUGCAGACCAUUGUGGCUUUAUCAACAACAGAAGCAGAUUACAUAGCAGCUACACAAGCUUGGAAGGGCUAUUUGGAUACAAAGGUUACUGAAAGAGCUUGGGCAUAAAAAUUUUUAUGGUUUGUGAUAGUUAGAAUGCAAGGAAUCCAACCUUUUAUUUCAGGACAAAGAAUAUAGGAGUACAAUAUCACUUCUUCGUGAAGUAGUGAAAGAUACAAGAGUGGAUACCAAGGAGAACUUAACAAAUGUUUUGCCCAAGCCUAUCAAUGCUGAUAAAUUUGUUUGGAGUAGAUCAUUUUAUGGCCUAGUAGAGACAUAAGCAACAUGAUAGCGACGAAGCAGAAAGGAUGGUGUGGAGAUUGAUUGAUUCUCAAUCAAAUUUCUAAGUGGGAGAAUGUCAAAGUCAAUGUCACUUUUCUAGAAGAGUGACCAAUACCUUUUGAUAUUCAAAGUUUGAAUGUCAAGUUCAAACUUUUAAUUUAAAAAAAAUAUAUAAAAAUAUAAAUAGUGCCCAAAUUUUUAACUAUAAAUGAGGGGUUCACCCCUGCAUUUCAUUCUUUUCUUCUUCAAUUCUAGAGUGAGAGACUAAGAGUUUUAAUGCUCUUGAGUGAUUAGUGUUUUAAGAGAUUGAGUGGAUUGGGGUUCUAGGAAGUGAAACAAAAUAUUAUAAUACUAGUAAUCCUCAUUUCACCAGUAAAGUUUUAUCCUUUUGUCUUUACCCGUAGACGUAGGCUAAAAGUCGAACCAUGUAAUUUUUGGUGUCCUCUAUGUGCUUGUUCUUCAUUUUCUUCCAAUUUCAUUUUAGCUGUGAACCUACUUCACCAGUCAAUUUCCUAACACUGAUAGGGGCGGAUCUGCAUUGGGAGUUAAAUAUAUGAAAUUUUAUUAAUUUAUGACUUUUUCUAAAAUUUAUUUUUUUUGUGACUUAUAUAUGAUUUUUAAGCAUUUACAUUUGAAUAGAAAAAGUAACUUUUGUGACUUUUAUUGAAUAGGAAAAAGUCUAAAUAAGAAUUAAAUAUAUAUUCUAAAAAUAUUUUUAUAAAAUAUAUUUAUUUCUUAAACUAUAAAAUCUAACUACUUUUUUUUGUUUUUAUUUGUAAAAAUAUAAAUAUCAAAUAACCAUAUUUAAGAUAAAUAAGAUGUCACUUAUAUUUGGGUAUUAAGAAAAAGAAAAAUAAAUAUAUCAUUCAUAUAUUUGUACUCAGCUCAUUCAUGCUUACGAAAAAUUUAUACCUAUUCAGAUUAUAAAAACAAACAAACAAAUAAACAAACGCCUUAGCCUAGCGUGGGCAAUUGACUUUACUGAAAAAUAGUUUUCAUUUAAUUUUAUUUUAAUUUAUGGAAAAUUUUUCUUUUAAUGUGGCAAUUUCGUAGACGACUUUCUUAGUGGGAUUAAUUUUAUAACGCAAGUUUAUUUUUCUCACAUUUGAAAUCUGUAAUUGUUUUUAUUUUUAUUCAAAAGAUUAUCUUAUAAAUCAAUCUCCAGGCUCCGCCCUUAUUUCUAAGUAUGAGACGUUCGCAUCAUUAAAAAUGGGGAAGCAGCAACAACCUACUGGCCAAUAGUAUAGGAUAGGAGUUAUUAAUGCAUAUCAGCUAUUUGGUGAAAUGCUCACAAGAAAUGGAAAUUUGACAUGUAUGCAUUUCUCGAACUUUACCAACAAAACUUUUAUAAAAGCAUAUUUGUGAAUGAUUUUCCUGAAAUUUAAUGUUUAUCAUCUCCAAUCUUUUUACUCCUCCAGUCUUGAGUAAUUAUGGUGUUGCCACCCAUGCAUGCUUAUAGAUGCUUUGGUUCCUGAGAUAAUUAGUUCAUCAAAUUAGCAGCCUUAGCCUUAUAUUUGCAUUUUAUUUUUGUCAACGUUAACUGGUUAAAUUGAAUCAGUAGUGAAACUGAAAUGAAAGUAACUGAAUGACCCGAAUUUAAAAAUAAUAAUAAUUUUGUCAACUAAAUGAUCCUUCUGUUUGCUUUAGUAUUAUUUUUUUCCCCCUUAUCAAUUCAAGUUUGAAAGACAAGCAAUGUAUAUACCUAAACUGAAGUUUAUGGUUUCUCCGUGCUCCUUGUAUUACAAGUAUCAAAGCUGUGACUUCACAUGAACCUUAGCAGAAGCUUCUGUGAUAUUAUUUAUGUAGCUUUUAACUUUAACAAAAGCAUAUGGAUUUUUAUUUUUUGACUUGAUUUGCCAAGAUGACGAUGAGUGGAAUUCAAUUCAUUUUCUAUUUUUGUAUUUUUUUUUUUUCAUUCUUUAAAACCAAUAAUUGUGUUUUGUUGUUGCAAUUUAAUACAUCAAUAACAUUUAUUGAAAAAUUGGCUAAAUUAAAAUGUGUUAACAUAAUGUACAAAGUAAAAUGCAACUUAUAAUUCAUAAAAUUUUAGAUGCUGAUCAGUCUAAAUAGAAAGGAUGUGUUUCACCUACUCUGUUUUGUACUAAUAAUCAACUACGCUUACCAAAUAAUAAUCUUUCUGCAACUGUCUGGGGGUGACUUUAUUCCCAUCCCUUGAUCUUUAUUUAUUUAUUCUUUGCUUCACUUCUGAACUUAGCCAAGGAACUUGAACUUUGGCUUUUCAAAUGGACUAGUUUUAGCUUUUAAUCUCGGCCAUGAUCUUCAUUGUGAAGAUGACGAACUAUUAUUCUUUUAUUCUUCACUUGUUGAAGUUACGAAAUAUAUAACUUUCUCAAAAUUUUAGCAAAUCGUUAUCCGUCAGCUUCAGAACCUCAUUAAAAAGUCAUCCUUUGCACUCGUUCUCAAUCAAGAAACACAUAUGCUCCCUUUUGCUGUCAACUCACUUGAAUUUCACUGGAUGAAGAAACCCUUUUCUCUUGGCAUCUGUUCUGUUGUAAUCUCCAGUCUUUGUUAAUUUGUUUCUCUCCAUUCCCAAUCUAGUUGUGGCAUGUUGUUGUCUCUGUUUGGUUCCAUAUCUACCCUUUGUACUUCCGCCGUGUGAAGAUAUAUCUUUUUCUCCAUCUCUUUUACCAGUCAAUAGCGCGUGUUUGGUAACGGAAAAAGGAGGAAAAAAAGGAGAGUGGGGGCAUUACUUUUAUCUCAUCCUUAACUUCCGAAAGUGGGAGAGAACAAGGGGGGAAAGAGGGGAGUGGGGAGUUAGCUAGGGGGGCUUUUUGGGCUCUCUUCCUCUCAUGGAAAAUUCUUUCUUUGACACUCUGCUUUACUUUCUGUAAAUUACUCGAAAAGCCUUGGGUUUUAAGGCAAUGUUUAUUAAGCCACAUGAGUGGUGGCACAAGUUUUUCCGAAAGGCCUAGAAACUAACUUGAGUGUCGGAGGGUUCACGCCGGAAAAACUUCCGGCGCCUCUAACCUUCUUCUAUGAUUUCAGGUAUUCCUAGGUUAAUCGCUAGUGGUUGCAGGACAUCUUGACGAUUGACCAAUCGAUUCUCUACCAAAUAAAUCUAAUACUGGUGUAGAAAUCUGACAUUAAGUCGCUGAUAGACUAGAUCAGAUUUGGGCAUCAACAGCGCGGUUGUUGUCUCUAAUAUUGUUUGCAUCUUUCUUCUGGUCAAUACAUAAGUUAUUUUGACUGAUUCACUUUUCCUCUAUUAUCUAAAUCAUUCCUUAUAUCAAUUCAAUCACUUUUGAACUAGAAACCUUUUCCUUGUUUCCAUCUUCUCACCAGAUUCACAACAGUUUUUAAGCUUUCUUUGAUUUCUCCGCUUCCACAACCAGAUACACUUGUCAUCUUUGUUGUUUCAUUUUCUUUUUUUCGUUUUUCUUUUUUUUUUUUUUUGCCUCUCUUUCUCUUUGUGUUUCGCUCGUCGUUUAUUUUCAUUUCGGAACUUUGAAAAAAAGAGGAUCGAAGAUGGUGGAAAGCAUUGUUACUGUUCUGUUAGAAGUUGUGAAAUGCUUCGCUCCUCCAACAGAACGCCAACUUUGUUAUUUGCGUAACUAUAAAGCCAACUUUGAGAAUCUCAAGGCAGAAAUAGACAAGCUCAAGGAUGAAAGUAAGAGCAUUCAGCACAGAGUUUCUGAGGCUGAAAGAAAAGGAGAAAAGAUUGAAGAGAAGGUUGAGAACUGGCUGGUUAGUGCGAACAACACCAUUGAGCAGGCAGCCAAAUUCAUUGAAGAUGGGGAGACAACAAGUAAGCGAUGUUUCAAGGGCUUGUGUCCUAAUUUCAAGACCCGCUAUCAGCUUAGCAAGAAAGCAGAAACAGAGGUGAAGGCCCUUGUUGAACUCAAAGAAGAAGCUAGGAGAUUUGAUGAUAGAAUUUUCUACCGUACCAUUGCGGAGGAGGUAUGGCUAAAGUCUAACAAAGGUUACGAGGCCUUUAAAUCAAGACUUUCUACUCUGAAGUCUAGACAAGAUGCAUUGACUGAUGUCAAUGUCAGCAUCGUUGGGGUAUACGGCAUGGGCGGCAUUGGAAAGACAACACUGGUGAAGGAGUUUGCAACGCAAGCCAGUGAAGAGAAACUCUUUGAUCAGGUGGUUUUUUCAGAGGUUUCCCAAACUCCAGACAUAAAAAAGAUUCAAGGGGAAAUUGCAGAGAAACUAGGUCUGGAGUUGUCCGAGGAGGCUGAAUCUAGAAGAGCUAGUAGACUUUAUGAACGAUUGAAGAAAGAGAAGAUGAUCCUUGUGAUUCUGGAUAACAUCUGGAAAUAUCUUGAUUUAGAGACUGUUGGAAUUCCUUUUGACGAUGAUCAUAGAGGAUGCAAAUUAUUAUUAACAGCAAGGGAUCGUAAUGUCUUGUUAAGUAUGGGAUCUGAAAAUAACUUCUUGAUUGGCAUUCUAAAUGAGCAUGAAGCUUGGAGGUUGUUCAAGAUAAUGGCUGGUAAUUUUGUUGAAAAUCGUGAGUUAAAAUCUACAGCAACAAAUGUAGCCAAGGCAUGUGGAGGUUUGCCUAUUGCUCUAACCACAGUAGCAAAGGCACUGAGAAACAAAGAGCUGCCUGUGUGGAAGAACGCCUUGCAAGAACUCCAAACGCCUUCAGAGGCAAGCUUCGAUGAAGGAGUACCAGUAGAGGCAUACUCAACAAUUGAGCUAAGUUACAAGUAUUUAAGAGGUGAGCAACUAAAGAAAACUUUUUUACUGUGUAGUCUAAUUACACCAACUUCAAUUAUGGACUUGUUCAAAUAUAGCAUAGGCUUGGGUGCAUUUGAAAGUGUCCAUAAGAUAGAAGAUGCACAUAACAAAUUACAUGCAUGGGUCCAUCAACUAAGAGACUCUUGUUUGUUGCUUGAGGAUGGUGGCAGUAAAUUCUUUUCCAUGCAUGAUGUUGUUCGCGAUGUUGCCAUUUCAAUAGCACGUCGUGACAAAAUUGCAUUUGCGGUGAGAAAUGAGGAUGUGUGGAACUGGCCAGAUGCAGAUGCACUAAAAAAAUAUUUUGCAAUUUGUUUAAAAGAUAGUAUUAUUAAUGACAUUCCUGAAGUGUUGGAAUCUACACAACUUGAAUUUUUAUUCAUGUCACCCAAGAACUCUUUUGUUGGGCCCAAUGUUCCUGAGAACUUCUUCAAAAGGACGAAAAAGCUUCGGGUUUUGGAUUUGACUAGAAUGCGGUUAUUGUCAUUGCCAUCUUCAAUUGAUCUUCUAGUAAAUCUUCGGACACUUUGUCUUAAUCAAAGCAUUUGGGAGACAUGGACACAGCCAUUAUUGGAAAGUUGGAAAAUCUAGAAAUCCUUGGCUUUGUGCGGUCUGAUAUUGUACAGUUACCUAAAGCACUAGGGCAACUGACUAAGCUAAGGCUGUUAGAUUUAAGAGACUGUUUCCAUCUAAAAGUUAUUGCCCCAAAUGUCUUAUCGAGCUUAAUCCGAUUAGAAGAAUUGUAUAUGGGUAAUUGCUCCGUUGAAUGGGAGGUUGAAAGAGCCAACAGUGAAAGAAGUAAUGCUAGCCUUGAUGAAUUGAUGCUUUUACCUUGGCCAACCAAUCUAGAAAUUGAUGUUAAAAAUGACAGUAUUUUACCGGAAGGCUUUUUGGCCAGAAAGCUCGAAAGGUUCAAAAUAUCCAUUGGAAAUGAGUCAUUCAUGCCUCCCAAGAGUAUUACAAGAGAAUGGUUUCAAAGCCGGCCGCACUUUUUGAUCAACAGUAAUCGUGAGAGUUUAAGAGAAUUGAAGCUCAAGCUUGAUUUUAUGGACAUUUUCUCCAUGAAAUUGCAGGGCAUCAAUAACGUUGAAUACCUAUGGUUGGACAAGCUGCAAGGUGUCAAGAAUGUUCUUUUUGAUUUGGACACAGAAGGUUUUUCACAAUUGAAGCAUCUCCAUGUUCAAAAUAAUCCUAACUUCCUGUGUAUCGUGGACUCAAUGGAGAUGGUAGCUUGUGAAGCCUUUCCUCUUUUGGAGUCACUUAUCCUUCACAAUUUGAUCAACAUGGAGAGGAUAUGUAUUGAUCAGCUCAAAGUAGAGUCUUUCAACGAACUCAAAAUCAUACAAGCAUAUAAUUGUGAUAAAUUGAGUAAUAUCUUUUGGCUCUCUACUACAAAAUGCCUUCCAAGACUUGAGAGAAUUGCAGUUGUUGAUUGCAGCAAGAUGAAAGAGAUUUUUGCAAUUGGGGAAGAAGUUGAUAAUGCAAUUGAGAAGAUAGAGUUUGCUCAAUUAAGAUCUUUGAGUCUGGGGAAUCUUCCAGAGGUUACAAAUUUCUGCCGUGAAGUAAAGACUCCUUCAGCAUCACCAAACAGACCAUCGUCACACACAAGCUCGCCCGCGAAUGGCAUGAGGAAGCGGACAUCACGCGAGCCUACCUCGACAAUGCCGCGAGGAAAAUGAAGAAAUGGGCAGAUACAAGGAGACGGCAUGUUGAAUACAAGGAAGGAGAUCAAGUCAUGAUCAAGCUCCUACCCCAACAAUUCAAGACGUUGCGGAAAGUCCACAAGGGGUUAGUGAGGCGCUACGAGGGACCCUUCCGAGUUGUUCGACGUGUGGGCAACGUCUCAUAUCAACUCCAACUUCCGCCAAGACUCAAGAUCCAUCCGGUCUUCCAUGUGAGCCUUCUCAAGCCAUAUCACGAAGACAUGGGAGAACCAAGUCGCGGAGAAUCGAGGCGCGUGCCAACUGCCGUUGUCACCGCAUUCGACAAAGAUGUGGACUACAUCAUUGCGGACCGCACGGUUUCGAGGAGGGGCGUGCCAGCACAUAGCAAGUACUUGGUGAAGUGGAAAAACCUCCCCGAGAGCGAAGCCACUUGGGAACGUGAAGAUGACUUAUGGCAAUUCGCUGAGCACAUCCAGAAUUUCAAGCACGAGAGCGCGACGAGGACGCCGCGAGCUUAGGUGGGGGAGGAUGUUGCGGACCGCCCAAUUCGCUAGCCCAAUUGCCCACAAUUUCGGGCUAGAGAGCCAACACAAGGCCAAGAGUGCUAGCUUGGCCCAAUUCCGGAAAGUUCUAGGCAAUUCUAGCACAUGUGAGCUUGCAAAUACUCUAGAAUUCUCCUUACAAUUCCAGCACAUGUAAAUAGCUAGGAAAUGGUAGAAUUCUCUAGAAUCUCUAGAGCUUGGCAAGCCUCCCCUAUAAAUAUGGGAUGGCAUUAGGCAUUUGUAUCCAACAAACACAACAACAAGCAUUGUAAUCUCUCUUUGUGCAAUACAAUUUCUCUUAUUCGGCUCAAUUGCUCUCUUCUCUAGUUCGAGAAGCUCUAGGCUUACUUAGCAACAUUCGGCAAAGUUGUCUAAGUGCCGCACGGGUUAGCUGCGCAAAAUACUCAUCCCGUGACAAGUGGUAUCGGAGCUAAGGUUUGCACGCACGCAAGUUAGCUCACGAAGCACAAUGAAGGCAGUAAACUCACCCGCCAAGCCAAUUGCGGGAAUUGCACAAGGCGUGCACUUAACACUCGGUACGUGGAGCGGAAAGCUUGAUUUCUCCAUCAUCCCCAUGGAUGACUUCAAGAUAGUCCUCGGCAUGGAAUUUUUCGACCAAGUCCAUGCCUUCCCACUGCCCGCUACAAACUCCCUAAGCAUCCUCGACGGGAGCAAAGCAUGCAUGGUACCCACGGAGCGAGGCAAGUCCGAGGAGAAGACACUCUCCGCCAUGCAAUUCAAAAGGGCUUUCAAGAAGGACCCAAGCUUCUUGGUCUCCAUCCGGGAACUAAACAAGGAAGGAAAGAGCAGAACGUCGCCAAGCCAAGUCCCUUCGCGAAUUCAAGCCGUUCUCAAUGAAUACAAGGACGUGAUGCCUCUGGAACUUCCGAAGAAGCUCCCACCUCGGCGAGAGGUAGAUCAUGCGAUCGAGCUGGAACAAGGCGCGAAGCCACCAGCCUUGGCGCCCUACCGCAUGGCGCCACCCGAAUUAGAGGAGUUGCGGAGACAACUCAAAGACUUGCUGGACGCAGGCUACAUUCACCCCUCAAAGGCCCUAUUCGGUGCACCGGUCCUCUUCCAAAAGAAAAAGGAUGGAUCGCUGCGGAUGUGCAUCGACUAUAGAUCGCUCAACAAGAUCACCAUCAAGAACAAGUAUCUGAUUCCCUUGAUCGCGGACUUGUUCGACCAACUUGGCAAAGUGCGGUACUUCACCAAACUUGACUUGCGCUCCGGGUACUAUCAAGUGCGCAUCGCCAAGGGAGACGAACCGAAGACAGCGUGCACUACAAGGUAUGGGUCUUUCGAAUUCCUUGUGAUGCCUUUUGGCCUUACUAAUGCACCUGUUACAUUUUGCACGCUCAUGAACAAGAUACUCCAACCAUUCCUCGACCGCUUCGUGGUCGUGUACUUGGACGACAUAGUGGUGUAUAGCACCACACUCGAGGAUCAUGCCCAACACUUACGACAAGUCCUCCAAGUACUCCGAGACAACGAGCUCUUCCUCAAGUUGGAGAAGUGCUCGUUUGCCCAACAAGAAGUGGAGUUCCUUAGCCACAAGGUUGCGGGCGGAAAGAUCAUGAUGGAGAAUGCCAAAGUAAAGGCCAUCCUCGAAUGGGAACCUCCCUCGAAAGUACCCGAGCUUCGCUCAUUCCUUGGGUUGGUGAACUGCUACCGCCGCUUCAUCGAGGGCUACUCAGCCAAGGCAGCACCCUUGACGGAUAUGCUCAAGAAAAACAGAACGUGGCAUUGGUCCGAAGAGUGCCAACGCGCAUUCGAGCAGUUGAAGAAGGCAAUUUCGGAGGAACCCGUCCACGCUCUUCUGGACCACACUAAACCCUUCGAAGUUCAAACGGAUGCCUCGGAUUUCGCCAUAGGUGGAGUCCUUAUGCAAGAAGGCCAUCCCAUAGCGUUCGAGAGUCGAAAGCUAAACGAUACGAAACGCCGCUACACGGUGCAAGAGAAGGAGAUGACCGCAAUCAUACAUUGCUUGCGGGUGUGGCGACAUUACUUGCUAGGCUCUCACUUCAUGACUAUGACGGACAACGUAGCGACGAGCUACUUUCAAACACAAAAAAAGUUGAGCCCGAAGCAAGCACGGUGGCAAGAUUUCCUUACGGAAUUCGACUAUUGGCUCGAGUACAAACCGAGGAAAGCCAAUGUCGUUGCAGACGCUCUAAGCCGUAAGGCCGAAUUGGCAACAAUUAGCAUGAGCCAACCAAAGUCCGACCUUGUCUCACGCAUCAAGGAAGGCCUCCAACAAGAUCCGCUAGCAAAGGAUUUGCUGGAGAAGGUGCUCGAAGGCAAGACAAGGCGAUUUUGGCAAGAGGAAGGCAUCCUCCACACCAAGGGAGAUCGGCUGUUCGUGCCAAGGUGGGGAAACUUACGGAAGGAGGUAAUCAAGGAGUGCCACGACUCUAAGUGGGCUGGUCACCCAGGAAUCGAGCGCACCACCGCACUAGUUCAAGCCUCGUAUUUUUGGCCGUACAUGAGGGACGACAUCGAAGCAGAUGUGCGAACUUGUCUUGUGUGCCAACAAGACAAGGUGGAUCAUCAACUUCCAGCGGGAUUAUUGGAGCCGCUACCACUAGCAACAAGGCCAUGGGAAAAUGUCUCCAUGGACUUCAUUACUUCGCUGCCCAAAUCCGAAGGUUGCGGAAGCAUCAUGGUCGUUGUCGACCGAUACAGCAAGUACGCCACAUUCAUUGCCGCACCAAUCGAUUGUAAAGCGGAUGAGGCAGCCUGCCUAUUCAUCAAGCACAUUGUGAAGCUUUGGGGAGUUCCAAGGAGCAUUGUGAGACCCUCGGUUCACUGGGCGUUUUUGGACGGAGCUCUUCAAGAUGUUGGGGACCGAUCUCAAGUUCUCGACAAGCUUCCACCCACAAACGGAUGGGCAGACCGAGUGCAUCAAUGGCCUCCUCGAAAUGUACUUGAGGCAUUAUGUGAGCGCUCAUCAGUGGGAUUGGGCGAAGCUACUCGACAUCGUCCAAUUUUCUUAUAACUUGCAGCGAAGUGAGGCUACGGGCAAGAGUCCGUUCGAGAUCAUCGUGGGAUUCCAGCCCAUGACCCCCAACGCCAUAGCCUCGACUUACGGCGGGAAAAGCCCCGCGGCACACAAGUUCGCCCGCGAAUGGCAUGAGGAAGCGGACAUCACGCGAGCCUACCUCGACAAAGCCGCGAGGAAAAUGAAGAAAUGGGCGGAUACAAGGAGACGGCAUGUUGAGUACAAUGAAUGAGAUCAAGUCAUGAUCAAGCUCCUACCCCAACAAUUCAAGACAUUGCGGAAAGUCCACAAGGGGUUAGUGAGGCGCUAUGAGGGACCCUUCCGAGUUGUUCGACGUGUGGGCAACGUCUCAUAUCAACUCCAACUUCCGCCAAGACUCAAGAUCCAUCCGGUCUUCCAUGUGAGCCUUCUCAAGCCAUAUCACGAAGACAUGGGAGAACCAAGUCGCGGAGAAUCGAGGCGCGUGCCAACUGCUUGUCACCGCAUUCGACAAAGAUGUGGACUACAUCAUUGCGGACCGCACGGUUUCGAGGAGGGGCGUGCCAGCACAUAGCAAGUACUUGGUGAAGUGGAAAAACCUCCCCGAGAGCGAAGCCACUUGGGAACGUGAAGAUGACUUAUGGCAAUUCGCUGAGCACAUCUAGAAUUUCAAGCACGAGAGCGCGACGAGGACGCCGCGAGCUUAGGUGGGGGAGGAUGUUGCGGACCGCCCAAUUCGCUAGCCCAAUUGCCAACAAUUUCGGGCUAGAGAGCCAACACAAGGCCAAGAGUGCUAGCUUGGCCCAAUUCCGGAAAGUUCUUGGCAAUUCUAGCACAUGUGAGCUUGCAAAUACUCUAGAAUUCUCCUUACAAUUCCAGCACAUGUAAAUAGCUAGGAAAUGGUAGAAUUCUCUAGAAUCUCUAGAGCCUCUAGCUUGGCAAGCCUCCCCUAUAAAUAUGGGAUGGCAUUAGGCAUUUGUAUCCAACAAACACAACAACAAGCAUUGUAAUCUCUCUUUGUGCAAUACAAUGUCUCUUAUUCGGCUCAAUUGCUCUCUUCUCUAGUUCGAGAAGCUCUAGGCUUACUUAGCAACAUUCGGCAAAGUUGUCUAAGUACCGCACGGGUUAGCUGCGCAAAAUACUCAUCCCGUGAUAGUAGGCUAACAUUUUCUUCAUAUAUAUAUAUAUAUAUAUAACAGAUUUUAUUCUAUCAUGCGUUCUCUUUUGACGUCAUACGUGGAAAAUAAUUAAAUCAUUUAAGAAUUGAAAGAAAAUGGAAAAAAGGAUAAAAAGAAUCUCACACGCUCACUAAUUGAGCUCUUAACAAGUAGUAUGAAUUAGAAUGCAUCAAACUCAGCUGUCAGUUGGAAAUUGAUUCUGACUUGCAUUAAUUUGUAAUCAAAGAAGAAAAUUUCAACAAUUUGUAAUCAAAGAAGAAAAUUUCAACAAGUGCUUCCUAUAUGGAUAUUGGAUCUAACGAGAAAUUCUUAUUUUUUUAGGUUGCGUUGCCUAACUUGGUGGCUUUGGAGAUAUCUGCAAUUAAUGUCGACAAGAUUUGGCAUUACAAUCAAAUUCUGGCGGCCGUGUUUCCUCACUUUCAAAGUUUAACACGAUUAGUUGUGUGGUACUGUGACAAACUGAAAUACAUAUUUUCAGCGUCUAUGAUCGGAAACCUCAAGCAGCUCCAGCACUUAGAUAUACGCUUCUGUGAGGAUUUACAGGAGAUCGUUUCUGAAAACAGAGCAGAUGAAGUGAUCCCUUAUUUUGUCUUUCCACAGCUCACCGUUCUGAUACUCCAAGGUCUACCAAAACUUAGAUGUUUAUACCCAGGAAUGCAUACUUCGGAAUGGCCAGCACUAGAAAAUUUUGCAGUGUGUCGUUGUGACAAAUUAAAAAUAUUUGCUGAAGAUUUAUCGCAGAAUAAAGAGAAUAAUCAACUUGAUAUUCCUGCACAACAGCCCUUAUUGCCGUUCGAAAAGGUAUGAAGUCAUUUUCUAGAUAUUUUUUUUUCAAUAGCUCAUUGACGACUUUUGACUUUGAAAAAUGUAACAAAACAUUGAUAAAUUAAUACUUAAUAAAUUAAAAAUUUUUAUUACAUAAUAAUCUUUGCUAGUCUUGACUAAGGGAUCAAUGUGGGAGAUUAAUAAUUAUAUGAACUUUUUUAGGUAUAGCAUUAUAAAAGAAUCCUUAGUUUUUCUUUAUACAACGACUUACAAAAUAAAUUAAUAAUUUAUUGUUGUGAAAUAAAAUAUUUUCAUGCAAAUAUAAAUCAACCAUUUUUCCCUAAUUUCUUUUUUACCUCUAAAAUUAACAUAUAAAAAAUCAUAUAAUGAAUUUUAUCACUAAUUCAAUUUUUUUUGGGGGUAAAAUUAAUAUAAAACAGAUACUAUAAAGUCACUGCUUGUGAUUGGAUUACUCAAAAUCAUUUGAGAGAACAUCAAUUGACCUCAUUAGUUAUUAUGAUUUAUGAUGAUCAGAUCUUACCCAACUUGAAGGACCUAUCAUUGAAUGGAAAAGAGGUGAAGAUGAUUUUGCAGGCCGAUUUCCCACAACACCUUUUUGGCAGUCUUAAACAACUAGAGAUUGCCGAAGAUAACUCAGCUUGUUUUCCAAUCUGGAAUGUACUUGAGAGAUUUCACAAUCUUGAAAUACUCUCACUGUUUCAAUUUUCAUUCCACGAAGAGGUAUUUUCGGAGGAAGGAAGCUUAGAGAAACAUGCGGGGAAGUUGGCAAUGAUAAAAACAUUAGAGCUGCGCUGGCACUAUCAUCUGAAGCAGCUGUGCAAACAAGACUCCAAACUUGGCCCCACUUUUCAGUAUCUUGAAAUUCUAAAAGCAUAUCGUUGUCAAAGUCUGUUAAUUCUAUUGCCAUCAUCAUCGGUAUCUUUUCAGAACCUAACAGCUCUGGUGGCUUUCGGUUGCAAGAAAUUGUUACACAUGGUAACAUCCUCCACAGCAAAAACUCUGGUGCGACUCGUAGCAAUAGAAAUAUAUGGAUGCAGAGCAAUGACAGAGGUGGUAAUAAAUGACAAAGAUGGAGUUGAAAAAGAAGAGAUUGUUUUCCGCAAAUUGAAGACGUUGGAACUGCGUGAUUUAGAUAGCCUCACAAGUUUCUGCUCUGCCAAUUACACCUUCCAAUUCCCAUCUUUGCAAGAGUUGUGGGUGAUUGGUUGUCCCAAGAUGAAGAUUUUCACUACAGGAGAAGCAAUCACGCCUCCAAGAGUAAAUGUCUGGUAUGGAGAGACAGCGGAUCAACGGCGCUGGGCUAAUAAUUAUCUAAACACAACCAUACAACAUUACAUGCUGAGAAGGUACGUAUAUACAUAUUACUCUUAUCUCCCAUGAUAAAUUUUUACAAAAUUUGCUUUCUUAAAUACAAUAUUGAUAAGAUAUUUGAUGAAUAAGAAUUUUACUUUCAGCUGUUGGCGGUGUCGUCGUCAUACUCUACGCAGUACGACUAAUUUCAUAGGCUUCUUAUGACUUGGAGUUGCAAAUUUUUAGAAGAAAGUCUCAACUGGUAAUUAAUUUUUAUUUCAUUUAUUUAAUCCCAUGGCUUGUUUCGCAAUUUCAUCUGAAUUAUUUAGAAUGGGUCCCUCGGUUUACUGUUAAAUUUGCAAUGCAAUUUUAAUGAUCCUUUCAGACUUUUAUGGACAGAUUUUGCAUAGUUGAAUGUCUUUUUAGUCUACUUUAAUUUGAGUUUUUCAUUUUUUUUUUAGAGAUCCCUUGUUUUCUAAAAUUUUAUAAUUCCUUGCAUACUUUUUAUGAUAAAAUUUCAUUAAAAGCCUUCAUAUUUUAUAAUUCCUUGAAAACGUGCAUACUUUUUCCUUUUUUUCUUUGCCAAUUAUUUAUUGUUAUCAUUGCUGUUCUUUUAUUUUAGUUUGUGCUCUGUUUGUUCAUUGGGUUUGCUUUUCGGAAAGUUAGAAGGCAAGGAAAGUACUUAGAAAAUGUUCUUCCCUAUGAACACAUAAUUAACAGCUGAAUAUCAUUCAUUGGAUUAAAAAAAAAUUAAAAUAAAAAGAAAGUAAUCAGCCCAUUAUUCCUAGAACAAAUCCUUAAACCAUCAAACGUUAGCUAUGAACAAGUAUAUUGGUCUAUAGCAUAUUCAUAAUAUUUUCUCUGCUGUUCCUGUUAAAAUUUCUCUACUCUAUGAUUGCAAAAUGUCUGGAUACUGAUGAAGAUUUAAGUCACUCUUCUUCUGUGAAUAAGGUCGUUUUUCUUUUUUCAUCUAUUCAAAGUUUCCAUUCUGAUGGGUUCCCAUUUCCAUCUUCGUGAUCUUCUUGUGAUAGUGUGAGUUACAACCUGUCUGUUUCCUUUGUUUGAUCAUCGCAAGUUCAAAGACAUUUUAUUC
rnacentral:lncRNA from 1 species